rnacentral:lncRNA from 1 species
AGAGCCAGGCAUUCCUGCAAUGAAACAUGGCCCAAGCUUCUUUUCAGGUUCUUCAUCAAGUUUCUUAUAGAAGCCUGGCAAUGAUCUGAACACCGUGUUGAAAUCGUUUCGGGGAAGAUCAUUCAAGAAGGCUUGGAGUGAUGGAGGUGGGCGGUUGCGCUUUUGGAAAGUGUUGCGGAUGUUGUCUAUGAUAUCUGAUACCACCAAAAGGGUGUUGGGUCCUGAAGAGCAUCCCAAGUCCGCUACUUUCAAACACUCUGGGAACAGAGUGCAACACAGCUCCUCUAUGCUUGCAUCAACUAUAGGCUUCACCGUUGAAAUCACUGCUCUCUGAAAGUUAUAAAAAUAAAAAUAAAAAGGGUUUAAGAAAGCAUGAAUAUUGCAUAGUUUUGGUUAGCAAAAUAGUUUGAGAACAAGCCAUGCUCUUUAAGUGUGCUUGAUAUAAAAUCAACGCAACUAGAGAGAGAGAGAGAGAGAGUAACUUGAAGUAGGGAAUUGUUUGCAUAGCUUGUUUUCCCAACUCCUCCAUUCAUGUGUAGAACUUGCUCUACCUCCAUUUUUAUGUUCUCAAAUAAUACUCCUUCCUCUCUCUCUCACUCUCUUUCUCUUGGUAUCUAUUCUGCUGGAAGACUCCCUCAUAUUUAUAGCAAAAUGCUUACCCAACACAACGAACCUUACUUUUUUAGUUGGAAAGUAAGUGUUAUCUAACAUGAUAUCAAAAUUCCCAUAAGUCGCCAACGUUGAUUAUAUUCUAGGUCUUAAGUGAUAUAUGGUGGUUAAGGUGUUGGAGGAGUAAAAUGGGAGGGGUUCAAUUCCCCUUUGUGUUUUUUCCCCCUCUCUUUUUUCCCUUUUUUUUUCUUCUUCUUUUUCCUUUUUUUUUUUUCUUUUACAUCGAUAUUUUCGAUAUUUUAGUGAUAUUACACCGAUAUUUUCGAUAUUUCAUCGAUAUUAUCGAUAUUUCAGACUAUGAUCUUAAGUAUUAAAUUCCUAUGUAACUAACACAUCUUUGGCAGCAUUAGGUGUCUAACAGUGUACACUACUUUUCCUGAAUUAAAAGUUUGAUGGAAGUGCUGGUCUCUCCUUUCCUAUUAAGUAGCUGCAAAUGGACAAUUAAAUCUUGUCUUCUUCUUUUUUUUUUCAUACAAACGAUAUUAGAGGCGGAGAGAUUUCAAAUUGUAUCACGGGACUAUGAAAAUAAUUAUUUUUCGAUCGGAUGUAUUGUACAAUACAUGUCCAUCGUGUGAAACUCGUGGUCGGUGGAGAGCGAGGGCCAUCUUUUGGAGCUUAAUGACGUGGUUCAUCCAUGACCAAUGAAUCAUGCAGCAGAGCCGAAGGGGACAAUAAUGUGAGAUCGAAUGGUCUUGUUCAAAAAGAAUUUCCUUUCCAUGGGGAAUUCUCAAUUUCUCAUGCCCAGUGUUAAGAAACUAAAAUGAGGCCUAUUCUUUUUUGUCUUAUUUUAAUGUUUCCCUUGAACUUUCAUCAAUUUGGGCAAAACAAAAUGUUAACUUGCCGACAUGACUUGAGCAUAUUUAGUAGUUUGGGACACCUGACGAAGAGAAUAUUGAGUCAGUUGAAAGUUCGAAAGAGAAAUUGAAAUUCGAAGAAAAAAAAACAAGGUGACUAUGCUAUUAGCCUGACGCAGAGGCGGCCCUGGGGUGGUGCAAGUGGUGCCAUCGCACAGGGCCCCCGAUUCUAAAAGGGCCUCCCGAAAAAAAAUUCUUUAUAUUAUAUAUAUAUUAAUAUUAUAGGAAUUGUAUAUAUAGUAUAGCGUGCUAGACAUUUGCACAAGGGCGUGUCUGGUGGAGUUGGUUCCAGCGCUUCUCCAUUUAACGUAGCGCCAGAGUUUGAUUCUUGUUGAAGUCGGUCCAUAUGCUGUUUUUAUAUUAUUUUUGCAUUAUAACUAAAAACUUUACAUAAUAAAUAAAUAAAUGAAAAACCAAAAAUCCUUGAAAUAAAAGGAAACAUCGAAGCUAACCACAGGGAGGAUUAUAUAUAUAUAUAUAUAUAUAUAUAUAUAUCCUCCAAACACUUUCUACUCCGAUCAUUCUUUUAAAAAAAAAUUUAAAAAAAGUUUUCUCAUCUAAGAAAAGUAUUUUUUUCAUUCAAAACAAAACAAAAAAAACUUCAUGGAUUCUUCUUUUCUUUUAAACUCUGAUUUUCUGAUAAGUAAUCAUCAUCAUUCAUCAAUCUCUCUUUGGUUCUUUUUUCAAUCCUUUGAUAAUUUUAGUUAUUCUUUCAAUUUCAGGAAUUUCAACACCAAAAAGAGAAAACCCUAAUUCCUAUAUUCAUAAAGAACACUCAAAAUCAAAUAGUCAAAUUCAAAUUUCAGGAAUUUGUGUGCAACUACUCUUUAAUUUGUGAUUGCCAAUUUUUUUUUCCAAUUAAACACAAAUUGCUUAUUGGAGGCAGCAAAGGACCUUGUAGGGGCACAAUGAGCUUAUUUUUGUACCAAAUAUUUAAUUUUAUCAAAUAGAAACAUUUAAAUUUUUAUGAAUUUGAUUUCUAAUUGUCAUUACAUAUUUAUUCAUGACUUUUAGUUAUAAAAAAAUUGUUUAUGACAUUAAGUUAUGCCAAAUUUUUAUUUAUAGUAUUUCGUAUUAAAUUAUGUGAAGCUCCAAUUUAAGUUCGCACAGGGCCCUCAAAAUCUCAGAGACGGCCUUGGCCUGACGGUGUUGUCUAUAGGAGUUUCCAUUGCUCACCAAAAAACAGCAGCAAAUCAUAAACCCAGAAAUAUUUAUAAUAAAGAAAGAAAGAAAGAAAGUUUAGAAAAGGUAACAACUUUAGGUGGGGAAGAGAGAAGAGAAGGGGAGGGUCAGAUAUUUUCUAGGGUUGGCAAAGAUCCGUGUGUUUUUUAAACUAGUAUAAAAAAAAAUAAUAAGGGUAAACUACAGUAAAUCCUCCAACAUGUAGGGUCAUUUACGAAUUCAUACCUGCUUUUGGGGACAUUUAUGGGUACAUACUCAACGUCAUGGAAAACCUACAUAUUGCCCUCUCUGUUGUGUGCCUACGUGGCGUCUAGCUGGACAAUUUUUUAAGGGCAUUUUCGGCAGAUCAAGUCCCUGGGUUUCGCACCCAAAACAACACGUGGUUUACUUUAAUUCAAAAAAGAAAAACAGAGAACCCCCAAAUCGAGUUCCAUAUCUAAGCCCCCACUCAGACCUAGCCCCCAAAUCAAUAGAAGUGGAUACCCAGGUUCCAAUUGGAAGAAGACAAAGACGACGAUGUCAACGAGGUGGAUGAUGUCUGUAAAUCGAAGAUAGGAAAUGGGCCAGCCCAUUUGUCACUGCGGCAAUUAAUGUUGUCUGACAACGUCGUGGACUGACAACAACCUUGGGAGAAGAUUUUGGGGCUGCACCGAUUAUGGGGUAAAAAGAGGUUGUGCAUUCUUUGAAUGGUAUGAUCCACAGGUAUGCGAAAGGUCCAAGAUUGUGAUAUCUGGACUAUUGAAACGACUGCGUAAGGAAGAAGAGGAAAACCGAAAAUUGAAAAAAGAGGUUGGAGCUGCCUUGAAAGCACAAAGAUUUCUACAAGCAAGUGUUCUGGGUUCUUGGAUUUUUUUGAUUGUGUGGUUGGGAAUGCUAGUACUGGAAUGGAGAGACUCUGGAUCUUCCAAGAAUGUGAAAUUAGCACUUACAUUUUAAGGUCUAUAUCUUAGAAGAGUUAGGUGAUGUUUUUUGUGGUCAUUUAUGGGACAUUUUGGAAAAUCAAAGUGCUUUGUGUAUAAAAUGCCUGUUUCUUGUAAUUUCCCAUGUGAAGUUGUAUGAAAGAUGUUUAUGUAUAAACAAUUGUGAGGCAAUUUGGAAAUGCAUACUGUUUAUGUAUGCACAAUUGUUAGGGAAUUUCCAAUUGAACAAUUGCUUGAAGGCAAAUUCCAUUAUAUUGUGAGUUCAAAAUACAUACAUACUUUUCCAACAUUUGCAGCUCAAAUUUACAAAAUGAACAUGAGCACCUAAUCUGGAAUACAAUAAAACAGCUACCAAAAGUAAACUUAUCAGGCCACAUCACAAAACUAGAAGUUGUACUAGUUCAAAAUAAAUUGGAAUUUGCAUAAACUAAGAACUAAGAACUAAGAGCCUAUGUUCUCUGUCUCUUGGAUGCUCUCAAUCCUAUUCCAGCAAUUUCAGCUACAUUUGGCUAGGAAGCACUUAGUGCAGUCUUCUUUGCAGCAGCAGCAGCCUUUGCCCUUGCAUAUACAAGCUUUCUCCUAACUCUUACAGCUGUUUUUGCUUUAUCCUACAGAUAAAAUACACUUUCAGCUUCAAACAAUAAAACAAUGAAAUUGCUUUUCCAUUUUAAGGAAGAAACAACAUAACAUUUCAUCAAUAGCAUAGCAAUAAAAAUAGGCACUCACAGCAGCAACUGCAGGGCCUUGAUUAGAUAUUUUUCUUGGUCUUCCUUUACCCCUUGAAAGGGGUUUUUCCUUUUGAGGUAGAUUCUGAUGAUGAGUGGUUUUGUUAUGGCCAGUUGAGCCACAAAUACUACACCUCAUUUGCAUUCCUUGUCUUCCAAACCAUUAUUUCACAGUCUUAUCUAUUCUCUCUUCAGCUCCUUUUAUCGUCACCUUUCUAGGUCUUCCAGGUUGUCUAGUGUAGGCUGGUGACUUUAUUGCUGUCUAGUUGGUCUUCUCCCAUAGCUGUGAUCCAUUAAUUGGCAUAAUGAGAUUGUUAUAGAGGGCCAUGUAAUUGUCCUUGAUAUAGUAUGAAUGCAUAUAAUCCUCCACAGCUUUACCUCCUUUGUAAUGUAUGGCAGCAAUUCCAUGAGCACAAAGAAUGCCUGACAAGUCCCACUUUUUGCAAGAACAAGUGUGAUUAUCCAAAUCCACCACAUAUUGGUCACCUUUUCCUGCAUCCACUUGAUAUUUAGGACCACCAGACCACUACACAGUACAAUUACAUGCUUCUAUCUUUUUCUGUUGCACAUGGUCAAAAAUGUUCUUGCAUAUUUUAUUAGGCCAACUGCUCAUCUUGUCCCUCCUCCACUGGAUCCUUCUCAUCAAUAAGCACCUGAUCAUCUCUAGCGUUGGAUAAUUGGCAUGUCCCUUGCUGUCUUGAUACUAUUGUUGAAGCUCUCAUACAAGUUAUUCUGCAGCAUAUCACACUUAAUAUGUGUUUUGAAAUAAGACUUACUCCAUUGUGUUCGUGGCUUCUCAGCAAGCCACUCCCAUGCAUUGCUAUCUAAGGUCUUCAUUACUUCCAUUUGAUACUUAAAACAAGGCGCAUUGGUAGCUCUAGCACAUGUCCAUAAUUGAUCCCUCAAUACUUUACCUUUAUACGUUUUGUUGAAGUUAUCCCAAAGGUGCCUCACACAGAAUCUUGUCUCAGCAUUAGGCACAAUGUCUUCAAAUGCACAAGGCAGUCCUUUUUGCUUGUCAGAUAUAAAGGCCCAUCCAUGAGAAUUAACAAUGUCCACAUCCUUGGCCAACAGAUCAAUGAACCAUGUCCAUGACUCCCUUAUUUCCAUCUCAACCACAGCAUAUGCUAGCACCCAAGUCUCGUUAUUGGGAUCGAUCCCAACUGCUGUAAGCAACUGUCCACCAUAAACCCCUUUUAAAUGGCAUGCAUCUAACCCAAUAAAAGGCCUACAGUUCAUCUUAAACCCUCUCUUUAAUGGUUCUAGACAAAUGUACAAACGCUUGAAAACAGUUUCACCAUCAACAAACUCACACUACAUCUUUGUUGUGGAGUCAGGGUUUUUGUCUUCCAGCUCAUGACAAUAAUCCCAGCGCAUGGCAUAUUGCUCAGCAACUGAUCCUUCAAUCAUUCGAAGCGUGUCUGCCUUUGCCCUGUAAGCUUUCAUCCUAGAUAUACCUACUUUAAACUCAGAAGAUGCUGCAUUCACUAUAGAAUGUGGAGGCAUGGUGGGAUUUGACUGAAUCCUAGGCAGGAACUUCUCUGUCAACCAUUUACUUGAGGCUUGUGUGUUUUCAAAUACUCUGACACAAUUGUGAUUGGGAUUAUAAUAUUUCACCACCAAGCUUCGAUCUGUAGGGUUUUCCCUAGCCAAAUAAAUCUGCCAUGGACACUGCUUUACAAACUGCCUUCAACUUAUACUUUUCAUUCCUGGUGAAAGCGACCUCUUUCCCACUCAACAAGCAAUAUUCACGAACAGCUUCUCUGAAAACCUUGCAGUCACUGAAUAUCAUUCCAGUAUCAAAAACAGGGUUUUGUUUGUCUGUUUCAUGGUUGUAGUGUUUGAAUUUUUUCCCCCUUGCAACUGUUUCAUCAUCUUCAUCUAAAUGAACACUUCUUAACUCAUCCUCCACUGCUUGACCCCCCCUCUUCCAAUCUGGUGUCUUCAAGAUCUGUGCGGUGAAAAUUUGUAGUCCGAGAAGUCUACUCCCUAUUUUGACCAGUCUGUGAAGGUUAGUCUUCAUUUUGACCAGUCUGUGAAGGGUGGUCCCCACUUGGACCAGCUUGUGAAGGGUGGUCCCCACUUGGACCAGCAUGUAAAGGUUGGUCCCCACUUGGACCUUCACCCUCAUUAACAACACCACCUUCAUUAACAGCACCACAUUCACCCUCAUUUAUCUUUUCAUCUUCAAGAGGCUGAAAAGUAUCUUCAACUGGGGCAUGGUCUGCAAUCCAAUGUUGCAAAAAUAUGGUUUUCUCAGCUAUCUCUUUAAUGUUUCCCCCUCCCCCCAAUACUCACUGUCAACAAAAGUAGAUGCAUCUGAUAAGGAUGCAUCACUAUCUUCCCUUCUGUUGCACUUGCCAUUGCCACACCUUUACCCUUUGAAGACUUUAUAGCCCUUGUAGCCCUUGCCCUCUUUGGUGCCUCAGGUUCAGCCACUUUUUUACCCUUUGAAGACCUAGUAGCCCUUACACUCUUUUGUGGCUCAGGUUCAGCCACUUCCUUAUCCUUUGAAGACCUUGCAGCCUUUGCCUUCUUUGCUGCAUCAGCCACUGUUUUACCCUUUGCAUUUUUUGGUGCCUCAUGUUCUGAAAAAUCCCCAACAUCCUCCACUGGUUCUUGCUCCACUAUCUUCACUGUUUUACCCUUUGCAUUCGUUGGUUGCUCAACAUUGCUCCUUGUCUUAUAAGGAACAAGAGGAAUAGAAUCAGCACAUCCUAUAUCCUCAAUCACGACUUACCUCUGUUUUUGUACCCCAGAACCUUCCACCCUUUGCAGCUCGAUCUCUUUGUGUUUGUUUAAAAAGGUAUAAGGGUCAUCAGCCAACUGUGUCAAAAAUAUAUUUAUCUCCCUUACUCCUGGCACACAUUCACACAUUUUCAGAACAUCUUCAUCAGACAUAAGCUUCUCUACAGAAGCAGAGUUGGGAAGCUCAUAGUGAUAUAACACUAUACCAUCAUAGCCUAACUCCUUAACCAUCAUACCAAUUUCAAACAUAGACAUUUGGUCCUUAUCACAAAAAUCAAUGAAAUCCAGAGUCCCAUUUACAUACAGGUUGUCACAUAAAGAACCCCCAUGGUUCAUUCGAAUAGUAAACUUAUCAUCUUCACCUACAAAGCCACAUAACAGUCAAACCUAUCAAUACAAAAUUGUUCAAUAUUUAACUGGUGACUAAACAAGGACAUAAAUAAAUGCAGAGGUUUUGGACCACUAAGUACUGUCUUGAAUCGAAAGCAGUUUGGUUUGAAAGAAAAAAAGUGCUUUUUUUUUUAUGCCUUUCCAACAACACAACGACAUAAAUGGACCAUGGACCACAAAUAUCACUAUCACGCACACUUCAAAGCAACUGAAAGGUUCAGACAAAAUCAAACCGCACGCAUCUUAACCCUUUACGAGGAAACCAAAAAGCAAGAAAAGUUAAAACUGCCUUCAACUUACAGUAAUGAGGAGCACGACAACCACGAGGACGAAUACCCCACAGCAUCUCGAAUUACAGCAACCCAGCCUUCUUUGCGCCUUCGAUCGAUGCAAAAUGGCGAUUAGGUUUCAAUUUGUGCAAUCGGUUUCGAUUUGGGGGGGAAAUCGAUUUCGGUGAUGGAGGUUAUGGACGACGAGCUUCUGGAACAUGGAUUCGGGGGUUUUUUUAUUUAUUUAUUUUUUUAAUUACAUAAUGCCACGUGUUGGUUUGGGCGCGAAACCUAGGGAUGUGAGAUGCCGAAAAUGCCCUUAAUAGAUUUCCUGAAUUACAAAAGGCUAGACGCCACGUAGGCAUAUAACAGAUUUCCUGACUGACUCGCUAACGGAGGGGGCAAUAUGUAGGUUUUCCGUGACGUUGAGUAUAUACCCAUAAAUGUCCUCAAAAUCGGGUAUGAACUCGUAAAUGACCCUAUAGAUUUGGGGGUUUACUGUAGUUUACCCAAAAAAAUAAUAACAAAACAUAUGUAUUUUUCUCUUCUUUUAUUUUUAAUUUUUUUUUAACUUUGAAGAGAAAAGGUACACUAUACAUAAAAAUAAGGGAAAUAGCCCUAAAUGCCACCAUUUUUAUAAUUGUAAUUAAAAAUACCACCCCUUCCCAAUUUUUGUACAACUAUCACCUAUAAAUAUAAAAUUAUUGUCCACUUAUUGCAAUUUUUUCACAAGUCCAGAAAUUUUGUUCUCUCUUAGCUCACACAGCUCUCUCUCUCUCUGGCACAGCUCUCUUUCUCUUUGGUAUCUGUCUAUCACAGCUCUCUGCGUCUCUCUUGGCUCUCUAUCUCUUGGCUCUCUCUCUCUCUCUAGCACAACUCUCUGUCUCUCUCUUUGCUCUCUUUCUCAUAGCGCAGCUCUUUCUCUCUCUAGCUUCGUUAUGUCUGUUUCUCCCCUAUUCGAUCUCUUGCUCUUUGUUUGGAAUCGCGAACUCCUCCCUUUAGCUAUGUCUUCUGAAUAGCUGCUUGCAACCUUGAAGCUCUAGUGGAUUGUCGACCUCGAAAAGGUAGUGUUGAUGGUUAUUUUGUUAAUAUCAGUGGGAUUAUGUGAAAUGGGUUAUAGUUUGAUUGUUGGGUUUGUGUUAAAUUUGUUUUGGCUUUAAUUUCUUUGGGUUAGGUUUUGUUGAAUAUUCAUGCUCAUUCAUCUGGGUUUGUACCAAUUGCAUUUAGAUUGGUCUGGAUAUGUGAAUCUUGAAACUUGGGAUUUUUCAUUUGAUGUAGUAGAUCUGUAUAGUGUGAUUCUGAUGUGUUACUGGUGUAGUGUUGUUGUGUUCCUCUUAUUUUACUGUCGUAUUGCUGUUAUAUUGACAUUAUAUUGUGUCUAUAUUGCAGUUAUAUUGUGGUUAUAUUGCUAUUGUAUUGUAUGGUUAUUGUGGUUAUAUUGGGUUAAUGAAAUGUUGUUUUGUCAUGGUCAGAAAUGGAGACAAUUAUUAUUCUCGUGUGCUACAAUGAAAAAUGGGUCACCUCGAAGAAGAUGUCCAAAUACGAAGGGGGUGACUCAAAAGGCUUAAUAGUUCCACGGACUAUCAAAUUUGCUGAACAGUUGGACCGUGUGCAUCAGAUUGGUAAUACAAAUAGCAGGGAAGACAAGGUUUGCUUAAAAUUCUCAGUUUUAGUGGCCUCGAAUGAGUGGAAGCACAUAAAGAUUGAGGACGAUGAUGAUGUCAAUUUUUUUAUGAAGUACAAUUCCAAGGUAGCACCUUCAAAACUAGCUCCCUUACUCGUGAGUAUAGAAGAUAAAGGACUGACAAAUGAUGUAGUUCAUAGUACUCAUAUCACGACAGAUAGUAGUCGGAUGGGUCAUUCUUCAGUUGCCAUUGUUGAAAGCAAUGAAGUAACUUGGAAUAAUAAAAAUGUCACUGAUGUGGGAGGUGAAUUAGGGACAGAUUUUAUGGAUAUGAUUGAUUUUAGCGAGGUGGAGGAGAUGCAUGGUGGUGAUAAUGGUACUGAAAGAAAUGAAGUGUCAGUGUACUCUGCCCCUCCUAAUUUGGGCUGCUUGAACACAGCUACCCAGUUGCCAAUAAUGCGUUUAGGAGGAGAAUCUGAACCCACUCGUCAACAUUAUUGGAGUCAAAUGGGUGAACAAAACCGGUACAAUGAAGCCGGUGUAAAUGAUGACGGAGCAUAUUUGGACAGCGGGUUUUCACGAAGUGAUUGGAAUCCGAAAAUUACAGUUGGGAAAUUUUCUCUAGUAAGAAAGCAUUGUUGACGGAGUUACGGUUCACGGCAUUAAGAGGCCACUUUGAAUUUAAGGUGCAAUUCUCUUGCACUAAGAGGUUGCUUGUGGUUUGUUGUCAACUUCCAUGCCCAUGGCGGGUCCGAGCAUCUAGAAUUGGAGAAUACAUCUUCAUGAUUGUGAGGUGUACAACUGUUCAUGAAUGUGAUUUGAGGUUCGUAUGUGACAAGCAUCGUCAAGCAACCGUAGCACUUGUAGCCACUUCACUUAAAAGGAAGUUGAAGGAUUCUCAGACAAUAUACACACCAAGUGACAUUAUGAGAGAUGUGAAACACAGUUUUGGUUGCACCAUCCAUUAUUCGAAAGCUUGGAAAGCAAGGGAGUUAGCUCUAUUGUCCAUUAGAGGAUCAGCGGAGGAGGCAUAUUAUAUCCUUCCAGCUUAUUGCUAUGAAUUGGAGCGUAUGAAUCCCGGCACAAAAACACACAUCCAAACUGAUGAGAACAAUCACUUUGUGUAUUUAUUUAUGGCGGUUGGCGCAUGUAUUAGAGGGUUCCGUUCUUCCAUACGCCCAGUGAUAGCCGUGGAUGCCACUCAUUUAAAAUCCAAGUACAAGGGUGUUAUGUUUGUAGCAAAUGCAUUCGAUGGUAAUCGAAAUAUAUAUCCUCUUGCUUUUGGGAUUGGGGAUUUGGAGACGGAUGCAUCAUGGCAUUGGUUUUUCACUAAACUUCAUGAAGCCAUUGGUGAGUGUCUCAAUCUUGUUAUUAUUUCUGAUCGCAAUGUUAGCAUAGAGAAUGUGUGGAACAAAAUUUUUCCAACUGCAGAACAUGGCAUAUGCUUUUAUCAUAUGAAGGGGAACAUGAAACGCACUUGCAAGUUGAAAAAGCGUGAUCACAUACUUAUGCACUUUGAGCAGGCUGCGAAAUCUUAUUCCAUUGCUGAAUUUGAUUGUCAUUUUCGCAACAUCAAGCGAAAGGAACAUGUUGCUCAAUAUCUUGAAGAGGCAGGGUUACAUAAGUGGUCUAGAGCUCACAUGGAUGGACGCCGCUACAAUGUAAUGACAACAAAUAUUGCGGAGUCAAUCAACUCAGUUCUUAGGUUUGCAAGGAUGCUGCCAGUGGUUCAUUUGAUAGGGGAAAUUAUUAAUCUCCUUGUGAAAUGGUUCACCGAACGUCGUGAGUUGGCUUUGAAUUGCACAACAACAUUGUGCCCCAAUUUCGGAGAGAAGAAGUUGAGGAACAGGUUGGAGGAUGCUGCAAGGAUGAAUGUGGUUAAAUUAAAUAAUGCACAGUUUAAUGUUUUGGACGGUGAUAAGGACGGCCUCGUAAAUUUGACGAACAACAGUUGUAGUUGUAGAAAGUUUCAGCUUGAGCAGCUACCUUGCAAGCAUGUAGUUGCAGUUUGCCGCUUCUUGAAAGUAAAUGUAUACUCAAAGGCUUCUCGGUAUUACACUCGGAAAACCUGGAUGGAUGCUUAUUCGGAUACCAUCUACCCGGUACAACCUCACGGAAUGUGGGAUAUUCCUGAAGAUGUUCGAAGUCGAGUUGUGCUGCCUCCCAUGGCAAGGGUCAUGCUAGGCAGACGAAAGAAGAUAAGAAUUCCCUCGCAAGGAGAGGGCACCAUUAGAAGAAAGUGCUCAAGGUGCGGUUCCGCAGGCCGCAAUAAAAGCACCUGUAAAAACAAUAUUCCAUUGCGCAAUGUAUCUUAGACAAUAUGAUUUGUGUUGCUUUGGUAGGUCAUGUAAACUCUACUUUUAUUCGUGGUGGGUUUCGUGUUAUGUUCAAUGGGAAUUCUUUUAAAUUUGCAUAAUUUCGGUUGCAUUGCUACAGCAUGUUGUAUUGCUGACAGAUUGCUAUUAUAUUGUACGUUUAUUGCACUGGUAUUGCUUCCAGAUUGCUAUUAUAAUUUGAGUGCGAAAUUAAAGGGACUGGAAUGUAAUUCCAAAUGGAUCCAAAACAUUAAAGUUCUUAAAAUUCCUUUAUUACACAGUUACUGUGAUACUCCGACUAUACCUUCUUUUCUGAUUACAAAUUCGGCCGAUGCAUAGGCCAGAUGUGGGGCAAAUACAAGGUGAAAUGUCCUGUGUGUUUGACUACAUAUACUUGUUGAAGGAGCAUUACGAAUGUCAACCUCAAUAGAUUGCUCAUGUCUUGCCAAGAACACUCUUGAAUUUAUGCAAUGUGCCCAAGCCAGUCCCAAAGCUGGACUCACCCGUCUGCCUGAUGUGUGCAGGGACUCCAAGUUUCCCAACCUCACCCCAUUCACUCCAUCAUGUGGCCCAAUAAAAUCCAUCACUUGGUUGGUGACAACCACGCCAACCCAAACUUAUUUGCUAAACCCUUCAAUGUCCCAGAUAUGUUGAAGAACAUUUCAGACCACCGUUUCAAAUCUGCUGGUGUUGUCUGAUACUGUGAUCGGAACAAUGCAGCAAUGGAAUCAAUGACAAUGAGUUUCACAGGUAGGCGGGUGUGAUCAAUGGCAAUAAAUGCUUCUAUGUCUCCAAGGACAUGGAUGAGUUGUUGAGCAUCAUGAACACCAUGAACAUAUAUGUCUUCCAAUGGCUCCAACCUUAUUAAGUUGGGGUAUGAUGCAUGAUAAAGGUUGCCUAGUUGUUGCAAUCGACGAAAUGGGAAGCUGAAUUCUGUGAAUAUGUAGACGGAGGAGCCCCUUAGUCCGCCAUGUAAGGGUGGGAGCUGAGCUCGUACCGUAAGUUGGAGACAAAGCUGCGUCUUCCCGGAACCACUCUCCCCUACUAAUUCUGUUAUGGAGUUGCAGGGUAUCCCACCCCCCAAGGAGUGAUCUAGUAUUGGGCAUCCAAUGGAUAAUUUAGGGGUUGAAAGAGGAAGGAGCAUGAGGUUUUGGGGUGUCAUGUUUGUGUAAUUUAGGGGCCGAUGUGAUGGUGCUACAAGGCAUGCAUUAUAUAUAUAUAGAGUUCAUUUUGAAGGUCUGUACUGUAGGCCAUACGUCUUUUAAGGGAUGUAUAAUUCAUCCUUUUUUCAAGUUGUAAUUACUUUUUUGUUUAUUUAUUACUAUUUUUUUGGACCAAUUAAUUUAAAAAACAUUCUGAUGCAGUACGUACUGUAAUAGGAUCAUAUUGUAACUCUAUCAUCACUCUAUUGUACUCUUAUUGACAUAAUAUUGCCAUUAUACGCAUGUUUAUUGUAUAGUUAUUGCUGCUAUAUCGCCACUAAACUGGACACCGAUAAACUGUAUACACACAAAUACAAAAAGAGGCUUCAUCAUUCCAUAAAAUCCUAAUUCCAAACUUACAUAAUACAACAACAGGCCACCCCAUCAUUACAUAAUACAAAAAUAGGCCGCCUCAUAGUUUCAUUUCCCUGGUGUUGACAAAUUCGAAGUUGCAUAGUCUUCAAGUGCGGUGACCGCGACCCAUGAAAUUCAUGACCCCGGCCACAGUGAUGUUGGCCCAGGAUCCUGCCGGAUCCACUAUUUUUGCAAACUUACGAAAAUUUUCAAAUCCGCUUUCCACUUCUUCUUUCUUCAACUUGGCCAUUGCUUCUGAUUCCUUGAAUACCAUAAUUGCAGUGGCAGGGGCAAUUUCAAUUUUUGCUUUCAUUGCCUUUAUAUGUAGGAGAUGCAUGCGAACAUGAUAACGAGAGCGAAUUGUGCGGUUUUUUAUGACACCCCAUCUACCUUGGCCCUCCACAAUUUUUGAAACUAUGUCUGCAUGAAGAUUUUUCCAAAACAUCGUAUUGCCUCGACAUUGCUGCAUGCCAUGGACCAAAUCUGCAGGGAGUGAAUUAGGUGAUUUGGCUUGUGUUUCAGUCUCCCCUCCUUCAGUAAUUGAAAGCAUUGGGUUUGGUGUGAGGUUAUGGUCCAUGGUCUUCGAUAUUUAUUGUAGCCUGGUGUACAACUUAAUUGGAAAAAAGGGGGACUAAAUGCGAUGUGAGUGAAAUCAGUGGGGAAGGUAAUGGCUGCAAGCAGGAGUUAAUGUGAUGGAAGUUUUCAUUUCAAACAGCUGGGUUGAUUAAUAUAGGCAGGUUUUAAUGACCUGGAGUAACUCAGAGAGUUAUUGGCGGGAGGAUUAGGGGGAGUAAUUGGCGGGAGGGAUUGGCGGGAGUCUUAGGCGGGAUAGUAUUGGGCGGGAGUUAUUAGCCAGUUCACUGUAUGCCUUUUUGUAAUAUAGUUGUAUGUUGGACGUUCCGAACUUGGUCAUUUUCCCAUUAUUUAAUUCAAAUAAGGGAUUUGCCUAUUUGCCUAAUUGACCAACUCAUUCAAAUUGACCAAUAUGGUUAUUGUCUUAUUUCUCAUUUCAGCAAUCUCAAUUCGUUUCCAUUUUUCCAUUAUUCAUAUUUUCCUAUUUUCCAUGUGUCAUCCAAUUUUCCAAUUUUCCAAUUUCUCAUUAUUUUUGCCUAUUUUUGCCUAUUCCCUAUUUUCCUAUUGUGCAAUUUCCCAAGUUUCCUUUUGUUAUAUUUCCAGUUUUCCAAUUUUUCAAUGUUCCCAUUUUCCCAUUAUGUAAUUAAAAAAAAUUGCCUACUUUGCCUAAUUCAGAAAGUAAAUAAAAUUGUCCAAUAUGGUAAUUGUCUUAUUUCCCAUUUCCACAAUUUCAAUUCGGUUCCAAUUUUCAUAUUUUCCAUGUGUCCCUGUUUCCUAUUUCCAUUUUUCAAAUUCAGUUUUUGUCCAAUUAUCCAAUUUUCUUUUUUCCAAUUGGACUAUUUUCUAAGUUUCUUUCUUUUUCCUUUUUCCAAUUUUUCAAUUUUUCAAUUUGCUAACUUUCCUUUUGUUCUAUUUCCAAUUUUGCUAUUUUCCAAGUUGCCUUAUUUCCUAGUUUGCAAUUAUCCAGUUAUCCAAUAUUCCAAAUUUUCAAUUAUCCAAUUUGCGAAUUUGCCUAUUUUUCAAGUGUCCUUUUUUCCUAUUUCCUAUUUAGAAUUUUCCAAUUUUCUUCUUUUCAGAGUUUCCAUUUCUUCCUUUUUCCUAUUUUCCAAGUUUCCUUUUGUCCAUUUUCCAAUUUUCCAAUUUUUCAAGUUGCUUUAUUUUCCAAUUACCCAAAUUUACAAUUUUCCAAGUGUCCUUUUUUCCUUUUUCCUAUUUUCCUAUUUUCCAAUUUUCCAAUUUUCCAAUUUUCUCCAAUUUUCCAACUGUCAUUUUAUCCUAUUUCCUAGUUUCCUCUUUCCAAUUUUUCCUUUUUUCCUAUGUCCAAUUUUCCAAUUUUCCAAUUUUCCAAAUUUCCAAGUUUCCAUUUUUUCGUAUUUCCGAUUUUCCAAUUUUCCUUUUGUUCUAUUUCCAAUUUUCCAAGUUUCCUUGUUUCCCAUUUUCCAAGUUUUCACUUUUCCAAUUGUCCAAUUUUUCAAUUUUCCAAUUUCGGUAAUUUCCAAUUUUCUUUUCUGAAAUUCGCAAUAAAUGCUUACUGACAUAGUCCUAUUUUGGGUUGAAAUCCACAAUUUACAAUGUCCCAUUAAGGUUUGCUUUUUUGUCGUUUGGAAGCCAUUUUUUGUUGUUGUUAAUGUAAUGUUGUACUGCUGUCAAUUGCAGCCAAGGAGUUAAUGGUGUAGUUUGCAAUCCCAUCAAUUGAAUGCACCAACUAAACACGCAAUAUACUUCAUAGUAGUUCGUACAUAUAACUGAACCUUCCUAUAUAGAACUGCAACAGAGGCACCUUCUUAACGGGAAAGGUAAUUAGUCUUAGUGCAGCACAAACAUUCUCCACUAAAGCAAACCAUGUUGUCGUUUACAACUGGAGACUGAAUGUAGCUUUAUUUGUUUUGUUGCAGGCAACAGCUGUGAAUUGUCCCCAGUAAUACUUAAAGAUGUCGGAUGUACGCCCUCCAAAUGAGCAUGUCAGUUACCCGGGGGACCAGCUGUGGCAUGUGCCAUUCCCAUCUCCACCUCGGACUCCCAAUCAUGAUCCCACUUCAUCUGGAAGUGAGGCUGAGAUCAAUGAUCCGCUUGACCAAAUCUCUGCCGUCAAGCACCACCUCCAAUAUAUGUCAAAGGCAACGGAUUGGUGGGAGAGUAAGUGCGAUAUUCAUGGCCAAGUUAUGGGAAACUUGACGAACAAGUUGAACAAAGCAUACACAGGAGAGGUGAAGCAAACUCUAAAAGCAAAAAGUCGGAGCAAAGAGUUAGAGUCGUUGAAGUUGAAAUUGGAAGAGAGAAAGAAAAAUGUCGUCGAAAAAUUCACACAAUCUGAAGAAUAUAACCAUGAAAUGGUUGAAUGUUUCAACAACGGCUUCGAAAUGUUCCAAGAUUAUGCUUCGGUCAUCUCACCAGAAUACAAUUGGAGUGAAAUUGAUGUAGCUGGUGUCUGGCAGGUGCUGAAUAUGGGUGCUGAGGGAAUGGCUCAUCAUAGCCUCGUGCAUGCAGCGAGGAGAAAGGACAAAGACAUGGAUCUUUUGAUGGACCUGUAGUAACGGUGAGUGCUGCUUCAGUUCAUCUCACCUGAGUACAUGGAUCUUUUGUUGCCUUCAUUUUCCCUUCGCGGGAUAGUAUUGUUAAGGUUCGGUGGCGAUUUCUUUUGCAUGGGUGAAAUGUUGUCUGUAAUGUGUAUGUAUUGUAUGUAGAUUGACUUAAUAUUGUAGUUCUAUUGCAUGUAUAUUGCCUUCAUAUUGCCUGUAUAUUGUAUAUAUAGUGUAUGCAUAUUGCCACCCUAUUGUAUCUAUAGUGGAAUACUAUUGCUAUCGUAUUGCCCUUAUAUUGCUCUAAUAUUGCCUCUAUAGUGCACUUAUAUUGACCUAAUAUUGUUGUUAUAUCGUAUGUCAAUGGCAUGUGGUCUAAUAAGUCUCCACUUCGUUGAAAGUAAUCCUGAAUUCAACUAUGACGGACACGACAAUUGUUAUCCAUCCUUAUAUUACCAUGAAUUGAUGUGGACCUUUCAAAUGAUAGCUGGAGUUGCACAUGGAAUCAUAUUCAAAAGGAAAGUAAUUCUCUCCCUCAAUUAAUUGUCCUUCAAAAGAAGGCAGCUAUCAAAUAUUGGGUACAAAAAUGCAACAGCCACAGUAAAUGAAUUGGCCACAAACCACAUAUUAUGAAACCAGGAUGAUUUUUGGCAUGCUUCAAAAGAGAAGGGCCAAAUACAACAGAAAAUAAAAUCCAUUCAAGCUUGUACAAUGGAAUGCACAAUAACCCUGUUACAUGUCCUUCCAACACCAGUGUUUUACCUACUUUAGAGUCGCAGGAGGAGAGCAUAUUGCCAUUGUGCAAUUCGAGGGGCCAGUCAAUUUGGAAUGGUGGCAUAAACAUGUUUACUCCACGGAUCACUUCUAUGGGACAGAGCUUCCUUCUUCCCUUGUCGUCUGUAGGUUUGAACUUCACAAUUUUUAUGUACAUGUAUCAGAACUUGUGGCUAUUUCUUUAUGGCCUUCUAACACUUGUUCUGCCAUUCCAAAGUGGGUUGGAGAUUUUUUGACCUGAAUGACUGAAAAGACUUCAGAUGAUAGAAACUAGAGAUUUUGAAGAAAAAGGGUUAUCAAGAACAUAAGUCAUGCCCACAAAAUAAACUAAACAUGCUAUAAGCUCCACAGUAAUUUUUACUUCAUCUCCAUAAGCAGAAUAUGAGCGAAUAAAUACCACGGAGAAAUACGAGAAGUGAAAAACAACUCGGCAGUUACUGUGAGAUUGUGUACUUAAAACUUGGAAGAACUAAACCAAUUAAAGCUAAGCCAUCUCAUACGUAUACCUACAUCAAAUAACAGUAUAUGCUCAUCUUGUUUAGAAUAUUGCAAUCAACACUUGGUUGAGACCAACAUGCAAAAACAACUAGGUUAAGUACAGAUGAAGCCAUUGAUGAAGGGCAGUUCCAAAAUUAAGACUUAUGGUAAUUUGUAACUGCCACCGAGUCAGUUCAUAGUGCCAAAUGCAUCUACCGGCCAUGCACAUAUGACCAGCGAAAAGUAAAAAAGCAAAGUAAAAAAGAAAAAACAGGCAUGCUAUCAAUGGGAACCUUAGCAGAAAUCAUCACAUAUGCAUACAAGCAGAUGGGCUCCAUUACAAUGUUCAAGAAUGAUGUAAAUACUAGAUAACAGAGUUCUUAUUCAAACCUCAGGAGGUUUGUUGGUUUCAUUCCUGGACCUUCAAUAUCGUCUUGCCCAAUAGCAUCAGUUGACUUAGUCAAAGUUCCAGACAAACACUCAACCAUUUCUUUUAGACCCUGCAAGAAAGUGGCAUGACUUAAAUUUAAUUUUUGGAUGGUGCGAUGAAUUCAGUUGGUUCUUUUUCUGAUAUGCAACAUAAUGAAACUACACCAAAGAUCAGGCAGAUCUGGGAGCAUCCAUGUAAUUAUAGAUGAUAAAAAAAAGCUAUACCUUUAACACGAAGUCAGCAACUUCUUUCACAAUUUUGUAUUCACCUUUACAUAAAUAAGUAGCAAUCAGGGCCUACAAACAAACACAUUUUAGCUGUGUAAAUUUGAUGUCAAAUGCAAAGACACACACUUCAUCACAAAACCCCAAUUUGCAGACAAAAAUCUGUGAAAUUUGGUCCAGUUAAAAUAGGAAAAGAAUUCCACACUCGGGGUGAAGUAAAACUGAAACUUAGACUUCACCCACUGAUUGAUCUGGAUCACCAAAUGGAAAUGAGUACAUACGAACUGCGAUGAAAAAAUGAGAGAGAGCAUACCUGACCAUAUGCAGCCAUUGCAUCAGUUAGAAGGGAUACAGCCAACCAAACUUGUAUACAUAUCUGAUGAGCAGCCAUAGCUACUGGACUUGACGAGCAGCCAUUGAUGUUCCCAAUGUCAAGGUAGUAAGAACAGCAAGAGUUGUUCCAAGAAGAAAACCACUUGUAUCAUCCCAGAGUUGAAAACAAAAGCAAUUAGGGAAAGAACUUUGAAAAGGAAGACAAGAGAGAAUUAUCUCGAGGUUUAACUAGCAUCACAAAGACAAAAUGAAACAUUAAGACACACACUGUCCAGAUACAUGCACUGCUCAAUCAGAAAACGAAAAAAGUCAAAUAUUAUGAUAGUGUUGAUAGUCAAGCAAAUAAUUGAAGCAGAACACUUGAAAAAAAGGGCUUAUAUUUUCAGAUAUAUGAGAGGGUAAAAGUUUAAAGAAAAAGAAAAGGAACUGAGCAGAUUUUAUGUAUCCACCAAAUUGCAAUGAUCCCACCUUUGGAGGCAAUAGUAUAGCUCUCUUAUUUAAAAACCAGAUCAUUCAAAAGGUGACAGUGUAUCUGAAAACAAAAAUUCCAAAAUAUGUUCAUUUGCGAAGUAAAGCAAAAAAGGAAUAUUAACAGAAACUGUUUUGAAAAUCACAUAAUGAGAUAUAACAGUGGAAAGGGCUGCACCAGUUACACCCAAACCAAAAUAAUACAUAAGGAUGGGUAAUAAAAAUGCAGCUAGGAGAUUACCAAUACCUGCACAAAGCAAAAUACAUCAAUUAACCAGAUAGACCACUCUUUGCACUCUUUGCUAUACUUUCACUCUUUGCAAGAUCUUCAGCAACAAAAGAUGUAGCAACACUGAGGAGAGGGAUAUUAAAUAGCUUUGAUAUAUAAUUGAAGAUGUUCAUUGAAAUACCAGCUGAAGCCAACUCCACAGAACCUAUGGAAAAAUAAAAAAGCCAAAAACAUUGAAUAAAAGCUCCAAAGUUCAAUGCAUUAUACAAAUAUUAGUCGUUCAACUCAUUUAAAGGAGUGAAAACAUACCCAAUCUACCAAUGUAAGCAGUCUCCAUUAGCUGUGCUAAGGGAUCAAUGGCCUGACCCAAAAUUGCAGGUAAAGAAAGCAUCAACAGCUCACGUUUGACAUCUGGAGAAUAUGUUUGACUGAUAGGAAUGUUGCUCAACGAUAGACAGGUACUGAAGAAUCAUUUACCCAAAACAAGCAUAAAACAAUGUUUAAGAUAGGUAUCAAAUCUUGUAACCCCCAUCACCUAAAACUAAUUAAGAGUAAUCAUAAGAAUUUCUGCCACUCACUGAAAUAGACAGGACCAAGAAUCUGUUAGCAAUGUUUCUCAUAUCAGCUUCACAAUGUUUAAGAUAGGUAUCAAAUCUUGUAACCCCCAUCAGCUUGCUUGCCCUUGUAAGAUCAAGAAGGACAAAGGAAGGAAGGGACUGGCUUUCAUCAACAGUAGAAAAACUCAUCCACAGCUAUCAUGCUCAUAUUACCAUUCACUCUAACAAACCAGAGUUUUCACAAAAUGAUAAAUUUCUAACAAAUUUGAAAAAAUAUGAAUCUCUGUGCAAGGAAAAUGGGCAGUUCAGCGUAGGCAGAUCAGUAUUAAGUAGUUUACGAAAACAUAACAGUCCAUUCCAGCACUAAGAUGUCUAUCUUAUGUCCAAUUAUGAAGGGAAGAAAAAUAUAUCACAUAUUAGAAGAAAUCAUAUCAAACUAAUGAAAGUAAGAACAUCAAUUAUUUACAACGAACUAAGUCAAAACUAAAUGGAGAAAUGUUAACAGAGUUGUAUGCUUCAAUAAGUCCAGUAACAGAUUCCCAAAACCACAGACAAAAAAUGUGAACAAUGGCUACAAAAGCAUCCAUAAAGAGCAACUAUAUUCAUAUAUGGAGGUGUACAAAAUAGUUAACCUUCAAAAUCGAAAUAGUGUGUGUGCCAUGUAAGGCAAUUAGCCACUGCUUCUAGACUGUACAAUAUUACACCUCACCAUAAUAUCUAAACCAACUAGCUCUAGCAAAAAGGGAUGAUGACCAUAUGAAGUACCCCCACCAAAGCAUCUACGUCUGCAUGUUCAUAUGAAGGAGUUCCUGACAUAAGUUAUGAGCAAAGUGAAUUCCCAAGUCAUAAGUCCAUAGUGAGGUGAAUUCACGGACAUUAAGACAUUUACCUCAUAAAUAUGCCUCCCCCCUUAAACCCUCAAUUGCAAGCUUCAGUCGGUAAUAUUUGAUCUUCAAAGGGUCAACUUUAUCCACCGAAAUCCCAGCACUAAGAUGCUCGAAGAAUUUGACGGUCAUGAUUCCGCAAGACGUACUGUCAUGCCAAUAAGUUGGGAAAUUAGAACUGCAGUUAUGUAACAUUUGGAUAAACUACACUAAAUUGACAAAGCUUACCCAUCUCGUUGUUGUGGAAGACCUGCAAUGCUGCAAACUGAGAAUGGCGUAAACCUCGACAUCUGCAGCCCCUUUUGCUUAACCUCUUCAACCUCAGAAUCUUCAUAAAAGUGCAUCUCGUACAGCACUAGUACUAGCAUAUCGCUAAUAGGGUGCAGCAGUGUAACCAGCCUCGAAGAUUUGGUAUACGCAACAUAGGAGUCAUACACAGUUGUAGUAUGUCUGACGAAAUCAAUUUCGAUUGCAACCCAGUGGGACCCUCGAAGAUUAUAUGGAAAAUAGACCUUCCGGACUUUUGUCCAAGCUUGGCCAUACCCGUGCUGCCACGUACCGCGCACAUAGUGAUGUAUAUUCUUGAGCUUGUUAGGUGGAAGGUCAACAGUGUUUGAAGCAGCUGCCUUCUUCGCUCCACGUUUCUUCGCAAUCGGUUUCAACGGCUCUAGAAAUUGCUGCAUAAAUUAAAAUGGAGGCAUAUUAGAAAAUCACAACCAAAAGCAAAUGAACCAGUGAAUGUAACAUGGUAACAUGUUUACUUGCAAGCAAUAAUCUGCCGUUGUCCAGUCAGUUCCAAAUACCAACGGAUGCGAGAGUUGCCUUUUCCGGAUAAGAAAGGUUGCCAUGUCCAGGUGCUGAAAGUUGACAUAUAUACUAUGAGCACAAUUUCAUACAACUCUACAAUUAAAAAAGGUGGGAAAACAAUUGAAUUAUUGUAAUAAAGUAGAGCUUCGUGUAUUCUUACCCUUGAGCUAACCCAUUUCGUGUCAUCGAUAAGUUUGUAGAAAAAAUCUGCGCCCACUGAAAAUGAUUCCAGCUGCACCUCCGCACUACAAAAGGCAAACUUGCAACGAUUACUUUUGUACUCAUCUCAUAAUUCCGACAAAAAUACAUAAGUAUAUUAAAGCAAACUCUACAUUUUGUCAUUAGUCUAUGACUACAUACUAGAAUAGGAUGAAGAUUGGAUUUCAAAGGUAAAGAAUCCUAACCUGAUAUCGUUUUUUCAGGCAGUGCAAAACUCUAUUACUGCCUUCACAUCUUCAAUGGGCACGGAUUUUGUUGGAUCAAAACAUGGCGGGGUUGCAAUCGCGGCCAACACACUCAUCGUCUUCUUCUUUCUCAAAGGAUCAGUAAAUGGGCUCAACAAUGUCUGCGCCGGGCGCUUCUGUCUGCACCCUUUACCUUCCACUUCCUUUUUUUCAACACUCGAACUCCCUUCUUCAUCACCAGCCAUACUAACUGUGGGUAGACUUGGAGGAUUCAUUGGACCUCCCGAUGGCAUACUCUGAGUCUUUUUCCAAUCUUGCAACAAAAACAACACUCUUUGGCAGAUUUCGUCACACCCGGCCACAUCUUCCGGGGUAGGCAGCUUCUCGGAUUGUGCCUGCUCAGCUGCUUCAUGCACUUCUAAGUCAGCAACUGAAGCAGUCAUUGCUGCCUCUUCGACUACCAUGGCUGCGGAAGGUUCGGCUCCAUUAGCGGGGACUUGUGUUUCCAUUACUGCCGGUUCUGUAGGCGGACUAACAUACUCAUGUGGAGGCGAGAAGUCAUCGGCUUCUCCUUCAUUCAUAUGAGGACUACCGAGGUCCUCAUGUCCUUCCCCACCUUCAUUCACCCCACGAUUUCGUAUUUUCAGUUGCUCUAUCUCCACCUUAAAAGAAUGCUCCAUUGAAGCCAGGGUGUUGCGGAAAUCCUCCACACACUUUUUAUUUUUUUCGAACUCUCUUUCAACUUUCAAUGACUCCUUCCGUACCAUGUCUUCCAACUGAUGCACUCUGUUGCGAAGCGAUCGAUUUGAUAUGGCAACUUUGGCCAAUUCAUCCUUUGUCCUUUGAAAGUCACGCUUCAAAGUACGUAACUCAGUGGACGCGACUGUACCCUGCAUUCAAUUAUAACGCAAGUGUUACAAUAUUUCCAAAUUAUAUUGCAACAAUACAGCAGCUUUUUUCCUAUUGUAUUAUAACGUAUAUCUUGGAAACAAAAUUAAUGCUUGCCUUAGAAGACGACGGAAGGCUAGCAGUUUCGUCAAUGUCCUCAUCUUUUUCUUCUACAGAGGCUGAAGUGCCGGUUUUUUGUUCAGCGUCAUCGCCCAACAAGUCAACAAGUUCUUCAGUGUCGUCAGCACUGUCACCCCAAGUCCAAUACGGCUGCUGCUUGUCCAUUACAGAUGGCCGGCGAAGCUGCACAUCAACCUGCAAUUUACACAUACAAUAUACAUAUUAGUAAACUAAUUAUAUUAUAUUUUCAUAUCCCUAACAUUAUCAUUAAAAACUGAACUAACCUUACGGUUCUCGAAUACUUGGCUCAUUAGCUCAUAAAAACGCGGCGAACUAUUGCUCCUCUAAUGUAGUAAACGAGGGAUGUACGCAUUAUCUUCGUGCACCACCAAAUGUAGUGCAACCAACGCUGGAAAUACCUCAUACUCCCAAAUCUGAUUUGAGGAAUAAAAGGUCAGUCGUUGUAAACAAAUGCAAUUUAACUUCAACAUCAAUGGACAUUUGCUCACCUGAAGUGCAUAGGCAAAACCUUUGAGGUGGUACUCUCUUGGUCUACCAGUUGCCGUUGUUGUUGGUUUCUUCCCAGAUUUUUUUUUUUGCAGUUUUUGUGGGCACUUUCACUCGCCGGUAAUCUGCACAAAGUGCCCUCAACAGUGACGCAUUUGUCUUCGCAUAACACACAACACCCCAUGGAUACUUCCCAAAGUCUUCAAGGUCUUCCGCCAACUUCAAAUAUCGCAUGUCAAUGUGGACAUGUUUUUCACUGCCCAACAGCACAAACACAGCAAAGUAUACGAAUCCGAGCUUCAAUACAUCGUCCACAUCAUCGCAUUUGAGGAAGGCCUUUUCUAAUUCCAACAAGUUCACAGUUUUAUCAUUGGCAAAGUACUUCCGUUUCAAUGAGCAUUUCUCAUUAGUGGGAAUCGGAAUAAAGGGAAGGUUUCCAAACCUUAGCCCUGUCACGAUGCAAAAUUGCUGCGCCGUGAAUUGGAUGACCUUAUUGCCAACAAUGAAUUUGAUCCCGUUCAGUGGGGAAACUGUCUUGGGAUCAGCUUUCCUGAGCAGCAAGCCGUGGACAAUUGGAGAAGUCCACUUGAGGUCCUCAAUCCGUAGGAGAUGACCAAAACAACUCUGUUCAAACAUUUGCAGCUGCUGUUCAGUGAAUUUCUCCUUUAUCGUAGUGAUUGCGGUCUUCGUAUGGGAUAGCGACAAUGCUUUCCCUUGGAACUUUUGUUCCUCUGCAAUCAUCAACUUCAUUUGACCAACCAUAUUUCCCUGCAUGCCAAUAUUAUAAACAAACUUUCAGUCGGUUGCAAUCUAGACAAUAGCAAGCAAUAAACAAUCACCACUUAUCAACAGCCUAUUAUAGGAUAUGAAGUGAAAAAACAAAAACAAAAAGUACAUAUCAUAAACAAAACCCCAGCUAUUUACAACUGACCUCCUAAUUUAAUGGCUCAAAGCCAAGUUUCAAGACACCCAGUACUCUACCACUCCUGCAUAAUAUAAUAUCUAAACACACAUCUCAACACACCAUAUAAUCACACCAUCUAAUCAUGAGACAGCUUCAGCUAGAAUGGGAAUGUGCGGUAGCACAAGCCUAAUUGAGAACAAUUCAACACUAACGAUACAAAUCUAUCUGACUAGAAAGAGUUUUAAAAAACAACAAGACAUCGGGAAACAAUUGAUUCACUUCAACGUAUAAUGUAAUGGAACAUCCUAUGAAUUAGUGGCAACCACAAUACUGACUCUACUAUGGCCCUCCUUUAAAUGUAAGAAAAUGAAAGAAAUUGGCACCAUCCCUUCAGUUUUUUCUUAACAAAAUAUCAAAGAUAAAUUCAUAAAUAAACCAUCAAAACUGUAUAAAAUGUUUGUAAGACAUGUACAAUUACAAAAUUAUAAGUUCUCCUCAGAAACAGAGUUCUCUAAGUAUCCAUACACAAACAAGAAAAGCAAAAGCUUAAACAGUUAGCUUAUAGCAAAAUCAAUGUCCCCAUUUCUCUAAACCACACCUGCUGGUGGUAGGUUCCCAUCUUCACUCAUUUCCCGCUUUCUUUUAAGCACACAAUGAUCAAGCACAAAACAGCAAACUUUUAAAGAACUCAUAUUACACCACAUAUGGUUCUAAAGAAAACUCAUCCAUAUCCAAUAUGCAAGCCCUAAACUUAGUAAAUAGAGUUAUAAAAAAAUAUGUCGAAUUAACAAGCAUUAUUCUCAAACAAAAAGUAUGAUAUCGUUGGGAGUUUACAAGUUCAGAAUGAUAUACACAGGUUAAUUGUCUUACACUUUAGAUAUCAUCUUCAACAAACAAAAUAGAUACCAAUUAGACUUGUAAGAAGGUUAAAUGCAAUGGUCAUAAAGACUCAUACUAAGCCACCAAAUACUAAUCAAUAACUGCUACAAAAACCAUAAUAAAACUAAAAAUACAACAGCACUAAAAUGCCAACACAACAUCACUACAUUAGCAAUACACUAGCAAAAAAACACAAUACGACAGCAAUAGCAACAGCAACACAACAGUAGUGCAAGCAUCAGUCCACAAAGAACAAACCCAUUCACUGUUUGAAACAAGGAAUCAUCAUACUAAGAUCAUUUCAGAGAAACCCCAAAACCAAUUUUGAUGAAAUCCCUAAACCAAUUUCAGAGAAACCCCUAAACCUUCAACCAAUUUCGAACAAACCCCUAAACUAAUUUCAGAGAAACCCCUAAACCUUCAACCAAUUUCGAACAAACCCCUCAACCAAUUUCAGAGAAAUGCAUAAACCCUAAACCAACUUCAGAGAAACCCUUAAACUGUAAGAAAAUGUCGAUGAACAGUACCUGUCGCUGGGAGAGGAAGAGAGAAGAGAGAGUCGGAGCUGAGCGACGAGAGAUUCAGAGCUGAGCAACCAGAGAUUCAGAGCUGAGCGACCAGAGAUUCAGAGCUGAGCGACCAGAGAUGAGAGAGUCAGAGCAAAGCCACGGGACAGUGAAGAGAAACAGAGCGGAGCCAAGAGAGAGAGCCGAGAGAGAACUUCAGCAAAACAGAGAGAAUAAAAUUUCAGCAAAAGUGAUAUGUGUGCAAUAAGGGGACAAUAAAUAUAUAUUUAUAGGUUAUAGUUCCAAAUUUUUUAAAAAAGGGUGGUAUUUUCAGUUACAAUUAUAAAAAUGGUGGCAUUUAGGGCUAUUUUCCUAAAAAUAAGUGGGCACAAAUGUAGUUUUGUGUUAUACGGGUGUCACAUUUGUCAGAUAAAGACACAAUUAUUUGUGUCUACACAAAUAAAUAAUUUUACUUUUUCUGAACAACUUGUCAAAUGAUACUUAUUAUUUACAUUUAAUUGACAUUUGACACAAUUUUUUGUGUCCAAUAUAAAUUUGUGCUUUAUGUAAAUUAAUUUGACAUAAUUAUUUGUGUUUUAUGCGAGAAGACGACGAAUAAAAUUUAUUUGUGCUCAAUUUUAAAGAUUAGGGCACCAUACAUGUUCGUGAUUUUUGCUCAAUUUUGUCUAGUGCUAACUUGAAGUUGGGAAUUGUUUGCAUAGCUAUUGUUUUCCCAACUCCUCCUUUCAUGUGUAGGACUUGCUCUACCUCCCUUUUUUGUGUUCUCAAAUAAUACUUCUCUCCCUCUUGGUACCAAUUCUUCUAGAAGACUCCCGCAUAUUUGUAGCAAAAUGCUUACUUAGUUUACCUUUAUACGCCGAAAAUUUAAUAAGUUCGGUAGUUAUCUAACACGAUAUCAACUUCUUGAAACGUUUGCAGGUUUAUGAUCUCAGACAGUGCACAAAUUUAAAACAACCUAAUUAAGAUUUGAGAGGUGUCCUUGGUUAGUCAAAUAGUGCAGCUUAAUACGUAAGGCUCCAUACAUCACAAACUAAGAUUCCUACGGAACUAACACAUAUUUGGCAUCAUUUGACAAAAAGGACAAAAAAAAAAAAAAACAAUGUGCACUGAUUAAGUAGAUGGCAUAAAAUAAGAUUACUUGUUUAACUAUGAAUUCUCUUGAAUUAAAAAAAUUGAUGGAAGUGCAGGUUAGGUUAGGUCAAUUGCGCAAGAUAUUGGGCCACCCUUUAUACCUAAGUUCGAAGCUUCUAGCAAUUAUAAGUCUCGAAAUUAUGGCUUGAUUAGUCAAUUAUACCAAAAUAGAAGACCUCGAGCUUCUACAUAUAGAGUUUUCGUACAUUUAUCCAUAUUUCACUUAAUUUAAACAAUUGUAAUAAUAUAAUGGCUUAAAAUAUGACAUGUCAAAUGGUAGAGUUGAAUUUUUAUUUUUUUUUUCUCUAAAUAUUUUAUUGCUUUCAACAUUGGCUUAGCUGCCGUUAUCUCUGUCUGUCCCUCCCAUCAUGAAGUCGUAAGAGCAGCUUCAGGAGUAGUUCAAGCCAUGUAGGACUCUGGAAUAGUAUCAACGAAAUCAGCUCUCAUCCAAAGGCAUAUGUUUCCCGCAGUCAUACAUAAGACAUUCAUCUUUAGAAGUUUAGAACAAAUCUAAUUACCUUAGUUGAUAAGCAAGAAUUAUUAUGGAUGAAGAGAAGGAGAAACAGAGAGGGAGGAGAUGGAGGGUCUGAUCACUGUGGGAGAGAGGCAGGGAGAUAACGGCAGUUAGUAAUCGUCAAUACCCUUUUUUUUUUUUAAACUAAUCUUUACCCGUUGACAUGUAAUGUUUUAAGCUGUUAUAUUAUUACAAUAGCUUAGAUUAAGUGAAAUGCAAGUAAAUACACGAAUUCUAUAGUUGAGCAAGUAAAUCAUAUCAGAAUCAAAUCAGGAUUCACGUCGAUUACUACGAAAUGCCCAUAAGAUAAGCUCAUGUUAGAGAUCCUUCCAUUUAAUAUUCUUCAUCAAUCCAUCUGGAAGUACAAUAGACAGUCGUGUUUCACGACCCUCACGGGCCAUUUGAUAGCUCCACACAACAGAAAGGUCGGCAGAUGUGCCAAUUCAAACAUUGAAAUUGGUGGACACAAUUGAGAUUGAAAUGCUGUUGUGGGUUCAUAAUGAGAAAUUGAUGUUUGAAAUUGAGGUUAAAAAUGUUUGUGGUAUUGGAAAGGUGGAAUAUAUUUCUCUGUGUUGGUGGACGUUUAUCAGACUUAUCCAAAAUGUACUUGACUUCCAAUAGAAGAUUGCCACACCAUUAUUAGUGACCCAUCGCACUGUCACCUCUAGUGCUAAAAGUUUGUUCUUCGACCAAACAGAGGACCACAAAAGAAGAAAAAAAAAGUAGUUGUGUGAAAGUGAUUUUCUUCUUAUUUUUUAUUUUACUAGUAUAUGUAAUGUGUCAAUUUGGUAACAUUAUAAGAGUUGAGCAGAUCUUAACAAAGAAAAUCCUAAGUGGAGGAUCUACAUCCCCGCUUAACUUAAAAUCUCAAACUACGUAGCUUUAGACACCAAAAAAAAUAUCAGUACAGAAAACAUAUGGGAUACAUACAUGUAAUGAUCUACGAACUACACCGUAUAUUCAGCUGGAAAUUUGACAACAGAUAAAGCUCUAAAUUCCAAAGCAAUGAAAAGAAAAAGUAGAAGCAGAGGAACCAGAUAAUGUCAUUCAGAGAUGUGAUACUGGUCCUAGAUGUCAAGCAUAUCACGUGUUCCUGCACCCAUGGUUGCAGUGUAGAGUCUGAAAUACACUGAUAGGCUGUCACAAUGUUCCAAAAGCUAAGAAAUAAUGCAGAGCCUAAGUUAGCAUAUUGGGUUUUUUUAAAUUUUUUUGGCAAACGUUGGGUUUAGAUUAACAUUAGAAACACUGUCAAAUCAAUCAAUUAUCAGAGAUUAUGGUUCCAUUUUUGACAUGGCAACCAGUCUGCUCCAGAGCAGAUUCAAAGAACCCACAACCAUGGAUGCUUGAAUCUAUACAUGGUGGAGCAAAGUGGAUGAUCAUAUCUCUCAAUGUGAGCAUCCCUGUGGCCUGAUUUGAUUCAUCAACCAAGAAGCUGAAACUGCUUUUUGUGUCUGCCAUGUUUCUCAUGGCUUGCUUCAGUGUUUCAGUUUUCUUGUUGGUGACCGGUGAGUCCAUUCUUGGCGCAAAGUUGUUUUUGAGGCGCAGAAAGCCAGCUGAGAGAAGAGCCCCAAUGUCUCUUUCAGUUGUUGGAUCAGAACCUGUUUUAUGAUCAUUCUCCAUGUGAAUGAACUCCUCCACAGUUAGACUUCUGCAGUUAUAUGAUUAAAUAUCAAAUUAAACAUGUAAUAUUACAUAUCUUAAGUUAAAAUUUAUUCUUUUCUUCCUUUAACACGCCUUAGCUCCAAUGAGUUAUCCAACCCAAGGCACCAAACAAGCCCAUGAUCUUGUCAUGUUCACGCUGUUAUUAAGAUAUAACUGGCAAGGGUCUGGACAUUUAUGUGUGCCUAUAUAUAUAUAAUUUGCAGAUCAAAUGCUACACUGAAGUGGACAUGAGAAACUAACAACUCCUUUAGAUGCAUAUCUCUUUUCGUUUUAGAAGCAUAUCUCUGUUCUGUUUUCUGUUUUUCUUUGUCAACUAGAAGAAGAGGGGAGAAGAGAACGGCGAAGUUAGGAAUUGUUCAUUAAUUAGUAGCAUAUUGGAUAAACGGCUCUUGACAUUGGAUAUUUUAAGUAGCAUAUCUCAUUGCAUAUAAAACUUUUGAGAUAAAAUUCAAUAUCUGAACUCCACAACACGGUUAAGCUGGAGAGAGAGUCGGCAAUCAGUUUGAAUUUGGGGAGUUGGGGACCUCCUCUCUCCUCCUUGUCUCUCUUUUAUUUAAAAAACAAUAGCGAAAAAUAAAACGAAAAAUAUAUAUUACAAAACAAAACAUAGAAGGGAGAAUGAAAAAAUGGAUGUAACUUACUUUAUAUUGCGAGGUAGAUUCUCUAGAAGGAGGUAGAUAUCGCAUUUCCUUAUGCUACCAAUGACCCUCUUACUUUUCCUAUCUGUGACAGCAACUGCACCAUUUUGGCUUUUCCAUAGAACAUGAAGAGCUUCUGUCAUGCUUUGGUCUCCAUAUACAUGUAAAACAUGCUCUUCAUUACCAAACCUGCAUUGAAACAUCCGUAGAGAUGCAAUUCCAAACUAAAUGAGAACUUACCAUCCAAUUGUAAACUAUUCUUAUAGCUUGAUUUAUCCCCCCAAAAAAAAAAAGAUGAAGAAAAGAAAAGAAGAACAGUUUAUGGGUUGACAUACCGGAACUCUGAUAAAGGCUUGUCAGCAAUGCUAUCAAACCAGUCUAAGCCACUUGAUUGAAGCAGCAGAAGAAGUACUCCAUGCUAUCAACGCAUAAUAGAUAAUCAAGAACUUAAGCUUAGUGUGGCCUUUUGCUAAUGGCCAUAUUUGCUUCUCAAAAGUACCAUUUAUGAAGUAGAAUUUAGAGAUAAAUAUACCUGUGAAAUAAAACCAAUGAGCUUAGAACUGGUUCUCUCUAUGACAGGCACAACUUGCAGCCGAUGCUUUGAAAGUAGCAGCAGAACAUGGAAGAGUGUCUCAUCCAAGUGUACAGGGAAAUAUGAAUUCCAUAGAAACGACUUAGCCAGCUCGCCAAUCUAUCAGAAUUAAACAGAAGUGCUCAUAACGAAAUAAAAAUUUAACAAUCUGCAUUAAAGUAAUACUUCAAGCUUCUAAAAUACAACAAGGGGAUUGAAUUAUAAGUUGGAACUUAUAACAUGGUUGGCAUUUUAAUAACAUAGCCAAGGAAAUUGCAACACAAAUAUCUCUGCAUGUCAUCAACAAAUAUCUCUGCAUGUGUGUCAAAAUGCUUGGCAGGUUAUACUUUAGAGAUUCGAAAACCAUGGCAUCAACAUUGCUAAACAUAAAACUUUUCAGUUGAAAGAAGAAAAAAAAAGGCUAAUAUAAUGAAGUGAAGAUGUUAAGUGUUAUGGACUUGUAUUUCUCUAAAUGGACUUUUUGGCAUACAUUGAAUUGUUCUAUCUUCUAUGUCUACUUACCAUAUUAAAUAAAAUAAAAAAUAACUAAAAGGGCAAAAAAUAUAAAAUAAAAACCUUGGUUUGGCCAAUGUGAGGAUGCUGUUCAAGCAUGUCAAAAACACCAUAGUUGCCAAUUUCUUCAGCUCUAGUUUUUCUUCUGCGAUUCCCACAUUCCUCGAAAAUUUUCAUGAGAAGCAUUUGUUAUAUAUGUAAUUGUGUAAAUAACACUACACAAAUGUUCAUCUGGGGUAGCUUUUAAAACGUUAAAAUCUACAAAAAUGAACAUCCUUACCUCAAAAAACCAAAGAACAAUACUUGCAAAAUCAAUGAAACCGAUAUAAGGAUCCGAAAAGCUUCCUUUGGUAUUGUCAGUAAUUGGUGCACCACACACAUUCUUCUCGUGCAUCAAAUGAAUGGCAUCUCUUACACUAUCCCCAGUUUUCAAUUCCAAAACUUUCCAUUGCAUCCAUUUUAUGACAGAAAAAAUUAAAAAACAUUAUUUUCAUAAUGGGAUUUUAAGGUAACCAAAUUCAAAAAACAAACCAAAAACAAAGAUAAUGGAACAUUGGAAAUUAUAUGAUGCUUACCGGGUGAGUUUUUUAUGCCAGGGAUAGAACUGAUGAGGAUGUUAUCAAGAAAGAGUUGGAGGGCAGAGCCUGAAUCAAUUUCUUGGUUGUUUUCUUGAGUUUUAAGGUUGGAAACAAGGCUCUCUUUCUUCUGUGCCACUCCACCUUCUGAGUUUUUCAUUACAUCCUUUAUUUGCUGCAUCUUCUUUCUUUUGUCCGAGUUAGAAGUUAAUGAUUGGAUGUUAAACUGUUUUUGAGGUCUUUCUGUCUUCCUUGUAUUUGCGUGAUCUGUUUUUGAGUUCCCCCUGCCCCAAAGACAGAUGUCAAGAAUGCAAACCUUCCAAAUGUUAGUUUGUAUUGCCAUGUGGCGUUCUAAAGACUCAGUUUUGUGGUACGAUUUUCUCCCUUCAAUUUUCAUAUUUUCUAUUUAUUUUUCUCUUUUUUUAUACAAGCGAUAUUUAGGGAGCGGGAAUCGAACCUAAAACCUCGGACGCAGGGAUAAAUGCUCUUAACCACUUGAGCUACAAACCCUUGUUUUUUUUUUUUUUUUUUUUUCUGUUGUGUGGCUGGUAACUUCCUUUUUUCAUAUAUACCUGUACACAUUGUUAAACAGAAGGGUCUUUUCUUUCCUGAUCCGAAAUAAGCCAAUAAAUUAUAGAUUGGGAGAUUUAUUUAAGAGUAAUGCUACAUAUGCUAAAAGAAACUCCAAGAUUUGUGUCCAAUUAAUAUGAUAGAAUUCAUUUCCACACUACCAAGGUAGUGUAAUGUGGCCUGCCAGAUCAUUUGGCAACCAAAAUUUCAAAAAAUUUUCCUAACAAUACAUGAAUAAAAGGAGUGUUAAAACUUGAAUUAUCAUAUUGCAAUAUGAAAAUGAGGGAUGGGAUAUUAAAAGGAUGACAGCUUUAUAAUAGAAAAGGGUUUCAACUGUACCUUUGGAACUUGGAAUUAUUACUACAAAAGGCAUAGCCUACUGAUAACUAUAUAAUAUGAAAAAACACUGCUAGAAUUUGGAAUUCUCUGAUUCCUGUUCUCUGUUCUUCUCCAUUGCUAUAGGCUGCUGGUGGCUUCUCUUUGAACCAACAUUAUCAGAGACGAACACGUCCACAAGUUAAAUAAAAUGCUUUUUCUUUUUCUGAGAUACAACUAUGUUUCAAACAUUAUUCAUAAUCAAUAUUGAUACAGAAAGUUCAUAGGUUCUUAUGGAUAUAUCACCUCCACGAAGGAUGAAAGCAGCCGGCGGCGGGUCAGCUGCUGUAGCUUAUUUUUGUACAUCUCGUGACUCUAGAACUCUUAUAAGCUUAUAAACUCCAUUUUUACAAGUACUGAAGGAUUUUUCUAGUUUAAAAGGCAAAAUGCUGCAGAAGCUAUACUCCUCAGCUGCCAAAUGCACUUGAGAUGUUAAGAUCCAAACGUUUGCAAGUCUCUUUCCCACCACCAUUUUUCAACUGUGCUUGAAAAGUACUUGAGAUGUUGAGAUCCAUCAUAUAACCAUGCCAUCUUGUAUUGUUGCCUUCUCCAGAAUAAUUGUGAUUCCCUCACGAAUGUAAAAUCCCUCUUCUGGCCUAUCUGCUUCUCGAACCCCCUACAGAACCAGAGAAUAUAGACGACCAUAAGAUUGAAUAUGAUGGUAUAUAUUUCACUCAAUAAAAAGUUGGCCCAGUCAAGUUCGGUUAAAAGGUAAAACGAAAAUAUCAAUGUAUCCUAAAAAAAAUGAGACUAGACCAUGGGAAGCCAUGCUUACAUCUUUGUUCACGAUCACUGCGUCCUUCCCUAUCUUUGCAUUCUUAUCAAUUAUACAAUUCCUUCAAGGAAGAAUCAUAAAGACAUAAUUAGAAACCUCGGCGUUCUACAUUCCAUGUAAAGCUAAGAAAUGUUUCUCAAUUUGUGAGUCUAAUUACCUAAUCUUUGUAUUCCUUCCAAUACCAACUGGGACCUUCCCCUCCGCAAGCAGAGAUGCAAUUUCAGUUUCAGUUUGGUAAUAGUCUGCACCCAUCAUUAUAGCAUCCUGUAGCAAGAGGUAGCAACUUAAUAAACAUAUUCAUAAGAGUGAAAGUAAACAAACCGGUCCAGUUUUCAACUUCCGUCUUUGAAAACCAUGAAAAUUCACCUUCAGCUCAACCCCAUAAUCCAAUCGUGAACGUUCACCUACAAUUGAAUGCUGGACACUACAUUCUCGCAAGAAACAUCCAUGUGAUAUUAUUGCAUCCACAAUCUGCAAUACAAAAAUAAUGCAUGAGAAGCAGAUCGCCUCAAUGAAGUUUCCAAUAUGAGCCUAAGUACAUUAGCAUACCCGGCACUUGUCAAUCUUGGUUGGUGGUAAGAAUCGAGGAGAGGUGAAGAUAGGUGUCUUUGGGUCAUAGAACUGCAAAAAGAGAAGGUAAUUUGCCCGGACAUUAAUCACACAUCGGGGAAAGAAAAUGAUGUUGCUCUUUGUUUCACAGAAUUGAUAUUAAGACAUUAUUUAAGAACUCUACACAAUUAUAGGGAUUCAUCAUAUGUUCUCCGUGUUUGCAUGUUAUAGUCUAGAAUAACAGGGUGCCCCAGAAAAUUGUAUGGAAAGGCACGUUUGUUCUUUUUUCAUUUUCCUUUUUGUUUUUGUUUUUGUUUUUUUGGAGGGUGACGUGAACCUUUUGUGUAUGACAUGUCUAAAUGUUUGACGUCCUCAAGGAAAUGAACUGAAGGGAUGGAAUUAUGAAAUGUUGCCUCUAUAAAAACAAUGAAAUCUACCUCUUCAGUGAGGGCCAAGUUAGCAUCAUAGAAAGACUUUAUAGUUCCAAUGUCCUCCCAGUAUUCUCUGAACAUAUAUGCCUGUAAAAGCAAAGGCAAAUUAUAAGACAUUUUCUUCAAUAUUUGAGUAUAAACAGAUAAUCGGUAAGAAGAAAAUAUGAAGAAUCAUGAAUUGUUCAUGCAAAUGGCUCAAAUUUUAUGGUCUUUCAGUUGAGGCUUCACUCUUCUGUUUCCUUCAAACCUUUAUGGAUAGGGAAAAAUUCAUGGAUGAAGACACUUCAACUGUAAUGGUUAUCUUACUUGAACUUUGUGCUCUCUCACUGCUGCAGGAAUGAUUUCAGACCCGAAGUCGUUUGAUGUUGGAUAUCGCCACCUCAGAAGAUUUAGCAAAAUUUCUGUCUUAAAUACAUAAACACCCAUUGAUGCAACAUAUGGGGAUUUCAUGGCAUCUUGUGGGGACAAUCCCAGAAGCGUGGUAUCUGUUUGCUGCAGAAUGUCAACCAAGAAGGGUAAAACUUAUGUCUGAGAUAUAUUAUUCAUUAAUGCAGUCAUGUAAGUCUAAAUACAUGGGUAAUGUUAAGACACACGGAAUUUAAAUAAGAUGAACUUGGAAAAUAGUGUAAAAGAGUAAUGGAGAAAAGCAUCAGUCUCUAGUCGUGGAGAAAACUCAAUGCGUGGGAGAGGUGUUAGAAUAUAAAACAAUGGUUGACUCACAUCCUAAUCGCUUAAGAUUUUGCGAAUUAUGGUAAACCAACAAAUUUUAUCGACAGCCAAUGAAAGAGAAAAAACAAAAACAAAAAAAAAAACAAAACAAUAGUUACAUUCAAAGUCUUGUAAAGCCAAAAGGAGAAAAAAAAAACAGACCUGUCACCCACUGCGGCACAUGAAAUUGUAAUAUCAGCAUUUCUAUCAACGUGACUCUGCAUAUCAUAGAAAAUGUGUAAGAAAAAUUUAACAACAAACAAGUCCUAUAUGAAGGGAAAUUAUUAUACCUGCACAAAGUCCGUAUAAUCCAUUCGGUAAAGAUGAUCGCCACACAAAAUCAGUACAUUCUCAACAUCCCUGUUUUUGGCAUCCUGCAAGAAAUAAUGCAGUACAUUGUACCCGAAAUCAAGUUAUGCAAACCAAAGAACAACAUACAGACCCAUUAUUACUAUCAGUUCCCCCCUUCUUUAAUUUUAAAACAAUACCAUUGUUGCAAACUUCUUUACCCACCUCAAAUACCCAUAUAAAUUGCCUCACAGCAUCUGCUGUUCCUUGGAACCAAUUCAUUCCUGCUUCCCCAGGCGUUUGAGUGGCUGCCAGAACCUGCACUUGAAGUGUGCUUUGAGUCACAAAAUAAUCAAGGAACUUGAAAAAGAAAUAACACAUUGGACCAGAUGUAUUUUUUUUUAAUGAUUAAAUCCUUUUAAAUAUAAUACCUCUUCUUCUUUCUUAUAUAGCGAGAACUACUUCAUUUAACAUUAAUUACAACUAAAGGUUCCCUAUCAGACUAACUUUCAGUUUGAAAACUGAUUUUUGCAGCAUCUUUACAUAAUUAUCAGCCUACAACUAAUUUAAUAACAGACCAAUCACAAAAUGAUACAGGUAUUAAUCUGCAUUAAAGGAUUCAUUUACCUCUACAAAUCCUUCCCCAAAGUUGAUACCAUUUCCAAAAUAGGUGCGAGCAAUGUGACGAUUGAGAGAAGCAGAAUUAAACUGCGUCAGUACAAAAAUCUUGUUUAUAUUGCUGUUGAUGCAAUUGCUCAUUGGAAUGUCUAUAAGACGGUAGCAUCCUCCAACUGGGACCUGCAAUCAUACCAAAUCAAUACAUAAUACAACUUCAAUUGCGAUAUUGAAUCACAAGCUUUGAUGAAUCAUGUGCGCUUAUGGUUAUUAAUGGAGGAUCAUACAACCAAAUUUUUCUAAAACAAAUCAGCAAAAUCCAAUAUGUUUACACCAUAGUGAACCGAGCAGACCCAGCAUCAAAGCGACUAGCACCAAGGCAGCCACGCCUUCUCCCCUGCCGAAGGAAGACACACUUCUGAGGUGCCAGACACCUGCCGAAGCUCCCAACUGCCAAAUCUAAUCUCCAGGACACGUAUCGCCACCACGACGACUUGCACAAAGUCCCACAUUGGAACUUUGUGCAAACCUCCUACUCGCACCUCCCUAUAAAUAGGGAACAGUACCCAAGUAAAAAGGGUAACUAUUCUCCCACUUUUACUGUUACUCUGCCAGAAUUACUACUUGUAACUGACUUAGGCAUCGGAGAGCCUUCGGCCGACACCACACCGGUGUCCGAAGCUUAACGAUUGCUUCUCCCACUUUGUCUUCUGCAGGUCUCCCAUCAACCUAUAUUUCACCAAGGGCCUCGGCUCUCUUCCCUGCUGAAGACCCCGCAUACCUAAUCACUAAGUUGGACUCACUAUUGGCCGGGCCAUUUUGAGCAUCAACAGUUUGGCGCCGUCUGUGGGAAGUCGACACUUGAAUCCCCUCUUUCUCUAUCAGCCCAGCUGGCUCCUUCACCCAUCAGGCCCCGUCGCCUCUUCUUCACCCCACACUCUGCUAUGCCGACCGAGUAUAGCCGCGAUACCCAGCAUCAUACCCCCCGCGAUGGUACUUCUAGAAGGAAAUCUUCGGAAGAUGCCACUCUCCAGGCAGAAGUGGAGCGCCUCCGCCACAGUGUCACUAAAAUGUCGGAAAAAUACGAGCACCUUCAUUGCAGGAAUGUUGAGCUAGAACAUGACUAUCGUGCUUUAAAGUGGAACUGGGAAAGGACUCACACCCAGGAUGCCUAGCAAGACCUCACCCAGAACGUUGGGCAUACUCAGCCGAACCAGCCAGUACAUUCCAGCCACAGUGCCCCGGCCCAAACUAGGCUUCGCAAGGGUAAAGACCACCUUCAUCCAGAGCUAACCCAGUCGCGACUCCUUUGCGUUCCCCCACCGAAGGACCGGCCCCAUGAACCAGUCAGGAUCUACCAAGAUUGCAGGGAUCGCAUCUCGGACCGACAACCAGGACCGGUCCCUGUCCCUGUCAACCUCGAAGACCCACGGGCGACACACCUGGGCCCUUCGCCAGGGCCCGUCCGCAUACCAGACGAGGAACGUGUCGGGGACUCGGAUAGUUGGGAAUUCUAUAAUUCAGAGACCUGGCCAAAUUACCACACCGAGGCGCUGGAAAAUUGGGAACAAUCCCCAGUCCCUGUCUGCCCCGCCCCCAGGCCUUUAGCACCUGAAACUCUUCCUCAUGCCGACCCGGCCAUGAGGCUUCUCUUUGAAAAGGUUCGGCGUCUGGAGAGCGAACAGCAUCGCAGCCAUCAACCCCUCUGGGCAAAACCACGACCGGGGCCCUUUACUGAACAUAUCCUCCACUACCACCAGGAGAAAGAUAUCCAGCCCCUCCGCAUCGCUUUCUACACUGGCACGGAGGACCCUCUCACCCACAUCCACUCCUUCCAGUCUGCCCUUGGGUGCAAAGGCCUCACUGAUGAAGGCAUGUGCCUCCUUUUCCCUUCCACCCUCAGCGGCGCGGCCCUAAACUGGUUCUACAGACUCCACCCCCGCACCAUCAACUCAUUUGAUAGUCUCAAGCAGACGUUCCUGGAUCAUUUUAUGAUCCAAACUGAUCACCUAUACUCUGCCGACGACUUAUAUAUGCUUCGGCAGGCUGAGGAUGAACCCCUUCGGGAAUAUGCAGCUCGGUUUAGUCACGAAUACUCCCGCUGCCCGGACACUGACGACCGCGCUACCUUCGGCGCUUUUAAGAGCGGCCUCCGCGAGUCCAACUUCCACUACCUGGUUCAUAGCAACAGUUGGAACACAUAUACAGAGCUAAUGAAACAGGCAGCGAUCCAUGCUAAGGCUGAAUACUUCAAUUCCAAGCGUGGCCCAGCCAACCUGAUGCGCAACGCUUUCGCUGAUCCUCCACCUGCUUUAGCACCCGCUUCAGCCCCACCUCAGCAUCCUACCCCUACCCCAACAACAUAUAAUUAUUUUAAUAAUUAAUUUUAAUUAUAAAUAAAUAAAAUUAUAAUAUUUAGUUUUAAUUAAAGAUUACUAAAACUAUCUUAUCUCUUCUGUUCCUUUUCUUUUUCUUUUAUUUCUUCCUAUUUUCUUCUUCCUUCCCAAGUUCCUAGGCCAUCCCUGUUUUUUAUUUUUAUUUUUACCUUUCUUCCUCUCUUCUUCUUCCUUCCUUCUUAAUCAACUGUCUAGAUUGAAAACUGUAACCUUUACUGAAAGAGAGAGUGGUCAAGGGUUUUAGGUGAGAAAAAGCGCAGAGACAGAGAGAGACAGAGAGAAAGGGACAGCGAGACAGAGACAGAGGCUGAAAAUUCAAUACCAACUAUUUAUUCCAUAAGUUCAACUUGAUGUCUUCUAUGUCAUUUCCCGGAAGAAUCCUUUAAUGGGUACCAAUUAGUUUUUAGAAUUUUUUUCAAACCACUUCAAGACUAUGAAUUCAUGACUUCCUUCUCUCAGUCUCAUACAAGAAAGCCCACAUCUCAGUUAAUGGUGUCUCCUUUUGCAGUUGUCCUGAUCAUGGUGGAUGAUUUCUUGGAUCAAUCGGGUUUGAAAGUGGUUGUUGAAUUUAGGUUCAAUUGGGUUGUGGUUCCAUUGGGUUUGAAUUGGUGGUGGUUGAUUCGAGUGACUGGGUUUGAAUUUUUGGUAGUUGGUUCAGUGACUGGGUUUGACGAUGGUCUGUGGUGAUUCUGGUGGUUUGGCUGGGUCUAUGGUGGUUAUAGUUCUAGGUGAAAAAGAAGAAGCUGGUUAUUGUCAGACUCGCGUUCUCUGUUUAGCGAAAUCGCUAUUUUGCGAACCAUGUUUGAGGCUCACUAAAUUGGAAGAGCGAGUGAGGCUUUUUGUUUACUGUUGUACUAUACAAUCCCAUUUAAUUUAGUCCCCCUCCUACCAAACAUGAUUUUCAGGGGCCGUUUGGUACACCGGAUUAUUAUGGAUUGGACUAAAUCAUAGGACUGUCUUGGAUUAGCUCGGAUUAGCUUAAGCUGGUUUAAGUAUUGACCUACCUUUGGUGCUGUGUCGGACUAAGAAGCUGGAUUGUAAAAAUAGUGAAGACCUAUGUUUGGUGCUGUAUCGGAUUAAAAUAAUUAUUUAAAUAUUUAAAAUUCAUUUGGGAUUUUGACCUAAAACUAAGUAAAUGCUACAAAGAAACCAACGAAAAAUGUAUAAUUUAUUAAAUAAAAAAAUUAUAAUAUUUUUAAAAGCUAAAACUAUCUUUAUCUCAUGUCUUUCUUCUUUUUUCUUCCUUUUUCCCCCUUUUUCUUUUUCUUUUUCCUUCCCAGGCCCACUUCUUAUUUCUUUUUUCUCUCUUCCUCCCGAUCUCACUCUCUGGUUCUCUCUUUUUUUCUCCAAUAUUGAUACAAUGAUAUCCUCCUCCUUCUCUCUCCUUUUCUAUCUCCCUAUCCCAACCUUUCUCUGCAUCCUCAUCAUUUUCUCUCUCUUAUUCCCCUUUGAAGUCACCGAUUUUCAUCUCCUUUAAAGUCACAAAUCUCCAUCUGAUUUCAUUGAGCCAUGGUCGAUGGUUGAUGAUUUUUCAUAGGGUUCAAUUGGGUUUGACAGUGGUGGUUGAAUUUGGGUUGAAUUUGGUUUUGGUUCCACUGGAUUUGAAUUGGUAGUGGUUGAUUUGAGUGGGUGGUUUUGAAUUGGUGGUGGUUGAUUCAAGUGGCUGGGCUUGAAUUAGUGAUAGAUGGUUUGAGUGACUGGGUUUGACGACUGUCUGUGGUGAUUUUGGUGGUUCAGCUAGGGAUAUGGUGGUGACAAUUCUAGGUGAAGAAGAAGAAGAAGAAGUUGGUUAUUGUCGGACUCGCUUGCUCUGUUUAGCAAGCUCGCUAUUUUGCGAGCCAUGUUUCAAGCUCGUUAUAUUGAACGAAUGGGCGAGGCAAAUUUGUUACUGUUAGACUAUUUAAUCUCAUUUACGUUAGUCCUCCUCUUACCAAACAUGGGUUUUCAAGUGCUAUUUAACCUAAUUCAAUAUAGUGAUGGGUACCAAACAUGCCUCAAAGUGCUAUUUAAUACUGUCCAGGGCAGUCCAGCCUACUAAACAUGCCUGAAGUCUCAAUAAUUUCUCAUCCUAUUUAUAUAUAUGUUCCCCUUGUUAAGUGCCUCUCCUUCUUUCGUCACCAAGCCUUUUGGAACCUACGUACACACGUUUAUGCUCAUCACUUGUCAGAUUAAAUUAUCAGACACGAUUUUAGAAUUAUUAUUAUUUUACCAAUUGAAUAAAGCUAAAAAAUUAGACAAACUUGCAAGAUAUAUAUAUUUUUAAAUCCCUAGUUGAUUGAGAAAGUCUUCUCAUGGAGAUAUUUUUAUGUUCGAAUGCAGCAUCCUGCCGUGUGGUGUAACUAAUGAGUUAUAUAUAACUGGGUGUAUGAAGAGUUUAUGCCUAAUAACGACUCAAUGAUUGAUUAAAAAAAAUCCAAACCUCAGAGAUCCACAUGAGAGCAUAAGAAGAGUGAACAAAGUGGAGAGAAUUGUCGGGGAAGAGCCUGCCAUAGAAAGAGCCAGGCAUUCCUGCAAUGAAACAUGGCCCAAGCUUCUUUUCAGGUUCUUCAUCAAGUUUCUUAUAGAAGCCUGGCAAUGACCUGAACACCGUGUUGAAAUCGUUUCGGGGAAGAUCAUUCAAGAAGGCUUGGAGUGAUGGAGGUGGGCGGUUGAGCUUUUGGAAAGUGUUGCGGAUGUUGUCUAUGAUAUCUGAUACCACCAAAAGGGUGUUGGGUCCUGAAGAGCAUCCCAAGUCCGCUAUUUUCAAACACUCUGGGAAGAGAGUGCAACACAGCUCCUCUAUGCUUGCAUCAACUAUAGGCUUCACCGUUGAAAUCACUGCUCUCUGAAAGUUAAAAAAAAAGUUUAAGAAAGCAUGAAUAUUGCAUAGUUUUGGUUAGCAAAAUAGUUUGAGACCGAGCCAUGCUCUUUAAGUGUGCUUCAUAUAAAAUCAACGCAACUAGGGGAAGAGAGAGAGAGACUAACUUGAAGUAGGGAAUUGUUUGCAUAGCUUGUUUUCCCAACUCCUCCAUUCAUGUGUAGAACUUGCUCUACCUCCAUUUUUAUGUUCUCAAAUAAUACUCCUCUCUCUCUCUCUCUCUCUCUCUCUCUCUCUCUCUCUCUCUCUCUCUCUCUCUCUCUCUCUCUCUCUCUCUCGGUAUCUAUUCUGCUGGAAGACUCCCUCACAUUUAUAGCAAAAUGCUUACCUAACACAACUAACCUUUUACUUUUUUACUUCGAAAGUAUGUGGUUAUCUAACAUCAUAUCAAAAUUCCAAUUCACAGCUAGUACCUCUUAAUUACUAACUUGCACCAACAACUUUUAACGUUUUGAGGUGCAUGAUCUAACACAGCUUACGUGGGAUUAAGUACGGCAUAAGCUAGAAAUAUGAUUUAAUUGACCAAAUGUACAAACAACCUAAUCAACUUUUGAGGCGACUAAGUAGUGCGGCUUAUUACGUAGGGCCCCAUAAGUCACCAACGUUAAUUAUAUCCUAGGUCUUAAGUAUGGUCUAAAAUAUCGAUGGUAUCAAAAAUAUCGAUAGUCCAAACACAUGAUGUAGUAUUUUAUGAAAAAAAUAUUAAACACACCAUAAUCAUUUAUAUAUAAUGAUUUACAUAAUAUUGCAUGGUAAGAUACAUGAAUGACUUAGUACCACAUAGAGUUCCUAUGAAGUUCAAAUUUUUCACUAUCUUCAUCAUCUCUAUGUGUAGAGUAAGUGUAUUAAUUGUGAAGAGUAUUCAUCAAAUGAUAAAUCCCCAAAAUAGUUUUGCAUGUAAUUGUUAGCAUAUUAUCAUUAAAACAUAAGUGAUAUAUGGUGGUUAAGGUGUUGGAGGAGUAAAAUGGGAGGGGUUCAAUCCCCUUUGUGUUCCCCCCCCCCCCCCCCCCCCCCCUCUUUUUUCCCUUUUUUUUUCUUCUUCUUUUUCCUUUUUUUUUUCCUUUACAUCGAUAUUUUAGUGAUAUUACACCGAUAUUUUCGAUAUUUUAGCGAUAUUACACCGAUAUUUUGACAAAAUAUUGCUGAAGUGUGAGCAAAAUUAUCGACAUCGAUAUUUUUCGAUAUUAUCGUCAAUAUUGUCGAUAUUUAUACGAUAUGUAUAUGGAUAUAUUCUGAAAUAUCCGUGAUUCGAAAAAACCGAAAUAUCCUCGAUAUUUCAUCGAUAUUAUCGAUAUUUCAGACUAUGAUCUUAAGUAUUAAAUUCCUAUGUAACUAACACAUCUUUGGCAGCAUUAGGUGUCUAACAGUGUACACUACUUUUCCUGAAUUAAAAAUUUGAUGGCAGUGCUGGUCUCUCCUUUCCUAUUAGGUAGCUGCAAAUGGACAAUUAAAUCUUGCUUCUUCUUUUUUCCUUAUACAAACAAUAUUAGAGGCGGAGAGAUUUCAACAUUAAAUCACGGGACUAUGAAAAAUAAUUGUUUUUCGAUCAGAUGUAUUGUACAAUACAUGUCCAUUGUGUGAAACUCGUGGUCGGUGGAGAGCGAGGGCCAUCUUUUGGAGCUUAAUGACAUGGUUCAUCCAUCCAUGACCAAGGAAUCAUGCAGCAGAGCCGAAAGGGCCAAUAAUGUGAGAUCGAAUGGUCUUGUUCAAAAGGAAUUUCCUUUCCAUGGGGAAUUCUCAAUUUCUCAUGCCCAGUGUUAAGAAACUAAAAUGAGGCCUAUUCUUUUUUGUCUUAUUUUAAUGUUUCCCUUACUUUCACCAAUUUGGGCAAAAAAAAAAUGUUAACUUGCUGACAUGACUUGAGCAUAUUUAAUAGUAUGGGACACUUGAUGAAGAGAAUAUUGAGUCAGUUGAAAGUUCGAAAGAGAAAUUGAAAUUCGAAGAAAAGAACAGGGUGACUACGCUAUUAGUCUGACGGUGUUGUCUAUAGAAGUUUCCAUCUCACCAAAAAACUGCAGCAAAUCAUAAACCCAGAAAUAUUUAUAAUAAAGAAAUAAAGAAAGAAAGUUUAGAAAAUGUUACAACUUUACUGGGCUUGACUCCUAACCUUUAGGUGGGGAAGAGAGAAAAGAACGGGGUGGUUAGAUAUUUUCUAGGGUUGGCAAAGAUCCGUGUGUUUUUUAAACUAGUAUAAAAAAAUAAUAACAAAACAUACGUAUUUUUCUCUUCUUAACUUGGAAGAGAAAAGGUACACUAUACACAAAAAUAACUGGGCACAAAUGUAGUUUUGUGUUAUACAGGUGUCACAUUUGUCAGAUAAAGACACAAUUGUCAGAUAAAGACAUAAAAAUAAUUGGGCACAAAUGUAUUAUUAUUAUUAUUAUUAUUAUUAUUAUUAUUAUUUGUAAAGGACUCACUAAGGUAGUUGUUUGGAGUAUUUACUCCCUCAGGCAAGGUCCUAAGUUCGAAUCCUAGCAUCUGUGUUGUGUGUUGUGUCUAUACAAAUAAAUAAUUUUACUUUUUUUGUGACAACUUGUCAGAUGAUACUUAUUAUUUACAUUUAAUUGACAUUUGACACAAUUUUUUGUGUCCAGUAUAAAUUUAUGCUUUAUGUAAAUCAAUUUGACAUAAUUAUUAGUGUUUUAUGCGAGAAAAGGACGAAUAAAAUUUAUUUGUGCUCAAUGUUAAAGAUGAGGGCACCAUACAUGUAUUUGUGCUCUUACGUUCGUGAUUUUUGCUCAAAUUUGUAGUAAUGCUAACUUGAAGUUGGGAAUUGUUUGCAUAGCUAUUGUUUUCCCAACUCCUCCAUUCAUGUGCAGGACUUGCUCUACCUCCCUUUUUUGUGUUCUCAAAUAAUACUUCUCUCCCUCUUGGUACCAAUUCUUCCAGAAGACUCCCACAUAUUUGUGGCAAAAACUUAGUUACCUUUUUAUGCCGAAAAUUUAAAAAGUUCGGUAGUUAUCUAACAUGAUAUCAAAAUUCCGAUUAGUAUGUAGUCCCACUUAAAUUACUAUAUCUUGUACACCAACUUCUUGAAACGUUUGCAGGUUUCGCCAACAUGUAUUACGUAUCAUAAGCUUAAAAAAAAGAUAUAAUUAUCCAAGUGGACAGGGUAUAUUAUACAUUAAGAUAUUGAUGCUCCUGGUCGAUCUUUUCCUAGUAUUGACUAAUCAAGGCGCAAUUCUGAAGAUUAUUAAUAUAACGAUAUGCAAAUUAUCAAAAUCAGUCUUGAAAAGGAGGCAUGAAAUAUAUAUAUCUCGGAAUUCAUCGUUUCUGAUUCUUACCUUUGCACACUCUGACAACUAUAUAUAUUUUUAUUCUAAAACACUUGGAGAGCCUAAUAUUGGAGAAAAAAAGUCACCAGUUGGUUCUUACUGUGUUACAAAUUUUCCAUUUAGAAGUACAUCAAGAUGUUUUUCUAAAGUAUUGGACUUGAAGGGUAUUUCGUUGAAGUGUAAAGUUUAUUAGAGUAUAAGAUUCCUCAAAUUGUGACAAGUUUCAUAAUCUGAGAGAGUUAGUUAAGUCAUUAUGUUAAAGAUUAGUUAGCUAACUAACUCUGUAAUAACUCUGAUAAGUGUCAUACACAAGAUUUUGGUUAAUUUGUUUUUCUAAAUUUUGGGGGCUUACCCAAAUUAUCUAGGAAGGUUACCAUCAUAUAUUAGGGUGUUCAAGUUGUGGAACCCUAGCAAAUCAAAACCAUCAUCAAAUAAGUAAGCUUUCAAAUCAACCUUAUAAUAAGUGGUGCAAAGUUGAGAAGAACAUAUUCUUCUCGAUGGGCAAUUUCUCAUUCCUUUUACAUAUAUGCUGCAAGGCAACUAAAAUGAGGCCCAUGUUUUCUUUACAUAAUUCUUGCAGGAAGCUUUUAACACUGUAUAUGCAUUCUAGCCCAAAGCAUGUGCUUCUUUUUCCUUCGUUUCCUUAUCGCAUUUUAAGACAAACUUUGGUUCACGUGGCCAUGAAAUUUUUUCUAUGUUCCGGGUCAACUUAUUUCCAUGUCCCAUAGCUAGUUGUUGGUGUUGGCCCCGGACGGGUGCAGGCAGUGCAAAUGCUCUGAGCCCACUACCUCCAGGCACCAGCUCUUGUGCACAUGACCUCAAAAAGACCAUGAAGUCCCUUUUGAAUUGCUAAGUAUUCCUUGAACACAACGUGUUCCCCUUGUUCAAUCCUUCGCUUGCUUUUGAGACCAACCCUUUCGGAAACUACACAUGUUAAUUUUUUUUAAUCAUGUAAUAAAUAAAUAUGAUCUGAUUAAAUAAUCAGACACAACUUUAAAAUUUGCACAUGUCCAUUUCUUAAUGUAUUUCCAAUAAGAAUAAAUAAAUAAAUAAUGUCAUCGAAGACUGGUUGGUAAAGCUAAAAAAAUACAAAGUUUAUCACUCCCUCGGUGAUAUUGAGAGUCUAUUUUAAAUCAUACUGGUAAUUUGACAUAUACUUUUUUUUUUUUUUCAAACGAUGGAGAGAUUUUAUUUUAAAGGAUUAAUGUUUACAUCUAUUCUAAGGCCUUGACUUUUUCAUGGUAAACAACUUUAUCAUAAUGUCUUCUAGCACAUAUCAUAAUGUGAGAUGCGUCUACUCACAUGUAUCAUAAUGUGAAAGCAUGUAUGGCCGUAAGACGUAACACGUGAAUAAACUAUAUUCUUAUACCAUGAUUGAAUUAAUUAGAAAAUCCAACAAACACGAUCUAGUAACCAAUGAUUCGACUUAAAAAACUGAAUGUAAAUAAGGUGUGUAUUACGUAUAUCAUAAACUAAAAAAAUAUGAUAUAAUUAUCCAAGUGCACAAACAACCUAAGUUGGACGGAUUAAGAUUUCUCUAACUAAAGCAUCUUUGGCAUCAUUAGUUGUCAUGUACAUUAAUUAAGCUUAACAUGGACAUUAGAUAUUGAUGCUCCUGGUCGAUCUUUUCCAAGUAUUGUUGACUAAUCAAGGCGCAAUUUUGAAGAUUAUUAAUAUAACGAUAUGCAAAUUAUCAAAAUCGGCCUUGAAAAGGAGGCAUGAAGUAUUGUUGAUUAAUAAUUGGUGAAUGAUUAUAGCUUCCUAUUUUAAGAAGCCGUUGAUGCAUCUAGGCAAAGAGCAGAAGUCUAUCUAGGCAAAGAGCAGAAGUCUUUCUCUACACUCCUUAUGCAAGCCUAUGUAGGGUAGGGUUUUUGUGCUUGUAAUGUGUGCAAAAGUCUUGCUCAUCCAUAUGUAUAGGUGACUGUAUUUGGGUCCAUAUGACCCUUUUGAUCCAAUAUGGUAGGGUUUUUUGUGCUUGUAAUGUGUGCAAAAGUCUUACUCUACACUUCUUAUGCAAGCCUAUUUAGGGUAGGGUUUUUUGCGCUUGUAAUGUGUGUAUAAGAGAGGAGAGCUAAGCUUUAUAUGCAUAGGUGACAGUAUUAGGGUCAGGGACGGACCCUCGUUGUGUACAAACUGGGCUAUAGCCCAGUCAAGUAUUUUUCUUUUGUUAUUGUUAGUAUAAAACACAUAGACUAAAUAAGUUGCAAUAUGUGUUGUGAGUUGUCAACUAAUGUUAAUUUUAAGCAUAUAUAAUCAAUUGUUGCUGACAUUGUUGGUGUAAAAUUGGACUUUUAAAUAAAUAAAAUAAAAAUGAUAUGUCCUUAAAUUAAAUUUGUAUAAUAUUAUGAUUAAUUCCAUAAGUCUUCCUAUAAAAUUUUGCCGGAUCUAAAAUUUAGCUCACUCUAUUUCGAAAUCCUGAGUCCGUCCUUGAUUAGGGUCCAUAUGACUCUUUUGACCCAAUAUGGUUUCCACUUGCAUUUUAGGCUUUUAUUUGCUUAUUGUUUCCACCUUGGGCAAACUGAAUAAAGUCUGAACGCGCCAAGGUGGAUGUGGAGGAGAGCUUCAACUUUUAAUCCAACAACUUCAACUUCUAAAACAGAACAAAAAGAGAUCAUCGCACUGCAUCAACUACUGUUUUCCCUAAUAUAAGCUUGAGUGCUUCUUCACCAUGCUCAUCAAUUCGUAUCUACCAAAACAACAAAGGGGGGCUUGAGAAACACUCAAAAAAUCUUAUUUUUCUGAGCAAAUUUUGAUUUGAUUUGUGACUUUUUGUUUCUUCCUAUUUCUAACCAAUAAUUUGCGUUCGCAAAUAUGAAAAUCUUUUGCACUUUAAAAAUCCCGUAUUUGUUUUCUCGUACUUUCAAUAUUACGGUAAGGGGAAUAAAACUAUGUCAAGUUUAAGGAUAAACAAACUUAGUCACUUAAGCAACAAAUCUUUUAUUUACAAAUAAUAUUUUUAAAAACCUUGUUGGCCUUUUUUUUUUUUUUUUCAAGUGUAGGUGUUUUGUUGAUGUCUAGUUGUUGAUGCCUAGUUGUUGUGUCUAGUUGUUGAUGGCUAGUGUGGAUGCAGAUUUCGUCCAAAAAAAAUAGUGUGGAUGCAGAUAGAACAGUCUGUUUUAAAGUCUCAAUAUCACAAUCACACCUUUAAUAAUAGAGGAACUUUUUUCUUUGGUCAAUUAAAUAAUAGAGAAACUUUAAGUCCCACUCAACAGAGGAUCCCAAUGCCCACUCACAAAUGUACGGACGUGACCACACGAAGGAUGUUCAUAAACGCGAAAAUAUAUUAUGGGGCGUGAGAAAACAAAAUCCAAUUAGGCGAAAAAUUGUGGAAGAUGUUGCGCCAAGUGUCGCGCGUUGAUGUGACACCUCUUUUUUAUUUAUUUAUGUAUUUAUUUCAACAUCAACCCAAAUUGAUGAUCCAAAUUAAAUUCAAGAUAUUUUAAUAGUUAAAAAAAAUAUUUAACGAUUAAUAUUUAAAUUUAGCGGUUAAAAUAAUAUUUUAAAUUAAUUUAAAUCAUAUCCAAAUUCACUCUAAACUCUAUAAAUACUCACUUAUUUCUCAAAUAAAAUUAUAUUUAUGGAAUUUCAAUUUUUUUAGUCAAAUUGUUCUAAAAAAAUUAAAUUAUGAAGUUAUUUAAAAAGAUUAAAUGAAGAAAAAUUAUCUAUGGAAAAAAAAAUGUUAGACUUAAACCAUUCUUAAACAAUUUAAUAAAGUUGCGGACUAAAAAUUUGAUUAUGAAGGGUUGGGGAAAAAAACGGUUUUGAUCUGGGCAAAACCCAAAUAGUUACUUUUUAAAAGGGGAAAAUUUGGGUUUAGUACCAAAUGAGUUGGAGAAGGCCUAAGAGAAUUAAUUAAGAUGGUUUUCACACCAACUGCUUGAAGCUUCAAGGAGGUUUCUUCUUAAUGUUCACCAUGUGACAAGUAUUCUGUUGACUAGAGCUCCAUUAUCCCGUCUCCUGAGACCACUGUUUGUAACUCAAUACUUUUUUCAUUAGACUAGAUUCCGUUGGUGAAAAAUUUAUUAUAUUCUACAUUAAUGUUGUUAAAAAAAGUGGUACAAAUCACCUUUUUACCCAAACUAGUGUGUCUUUUUUGUUGUUGUUGUCUCCGUUAAAUAUACUUGAAUACUUUUCUAUUUGAGUGGAUUGUAUUUUCCAGCGAUAAUCUUCCCGUGAUGACCAGGGACGGACCCAGGAUUUCAAAAUGACGUGGGCUAAAUUUACCUUACAUACAAACCUAUUGAAAACUCAACGGUACGAGUAAAUUUUAUUGAUAACAAAAAAAUACACGAGAGACAUAAUGAGUCUUACCCCUCAAAUAACACUUAUAUAAGUUGCGCUAUUCAAGUCUUCACAACAUUAAAAUCACUAAUUAUUGAUUCAUUAUUUAUAUUAUCAGCAAAUUCUCUUUCAAUAUGAAGUAGGAUACAAUUAGCAAGAAACUCAUCACCUAUCUUAUUCCAAAGUCGAUUUUUAAUAAGUCUCAUACAUGAAAAUGCUCAUUCUGUUGUUGUUGUAGACACAAGAAGAGUUAGAACCAAAUGAAUCAAUCUAUCAAUCAAGUAGUAUGUUUCUGCUAAUUUUGUUCUUUUUAUUUAUUUGUUGGUCAACCUAGUCCUAAUAUAGUUAAUAAUAUUUUAUUUAGGUGGUUAGUCAAGUCUUAAUGGGAUUAAUUAAUAAUAUUUUAUUUAGAUGACCUAGGCUAGAAUAUUAAUUUAGUCUAUAAAAAAAACAAGCUGCCUGGACUUUAGCCCAAGUUAGCAUGUUAGUAGGUACGUGCCUGGUGAUGACUUAAGAAAAUGAACUAUUCGGAUAAUGGGAAGUAUUACGGAGUGGAUACAAAAAAGUAAUUUUCGUAUUAGCUUAUUAACUAGUUAGCACUAAAAAGCUAUUGAUUGUAGUAAACAUAUUUCCGACAUGUAGUCUAGAUAACAGCCAUAAAUGUGGUUUAAUGUUAGUUACUAGCUAGCUACUUACUAUUAUCUAUCUAGCUAAUAUCUAAUCAUCUAUAUUACACAUUACAUCUAAAACCAUGUCAUUGAGUUUCAAUCCGACCAAUUCCAUAAUGUAGAGGGGAUAAUGGCUCUGUAUGCUUGUUUUUCCUAGGUGCUAACCAGAAGUGUGUGCCAGAUUAAUUCAUUCACACACAAACAUUGGGUGCAACAAGUAUCUGCUUGUUUUUCUUUUGUUUCCCUGUCGCUUUUUCAGACAAACUUUGGUUCACGUGGCCAUGAAAAAGCUUGAGGCUGAGGAUUCGAAGUACAAAAACAACCGAACCUUAAUUCUGGUAUUCAGUUAGGAUUUUUCUAUCAUCUGAGUGGCUAAGAUUGUGUAAUAGUCAUCUGUUUAAUAAGACAAUUUUACUAUUAUUUAUUACCCCUUGGCCCCUCUGCUUUUAUCUUCAAUCUCCCUCAACUUCUUUCAAUGUCUGAUAGCUAUUUAAUAAAAUCUUAAUCUCCUGCCAUCCAUCGAGGUUUAAUUUAUUGAAAAAUAGUAUUAAUUUGUAGAUCAGAAGUUUUAAGUUCAAAACCUCAUCACAUCUCCCAUAUCUAAUUAUGUGUGUUUGAAUGGACUAUCGAUGGGACACUAAAAGAUAAUUCCUAAUCUCCUGUUUCAACUCACCAACCCUCUAUUUUAUAUGUAUAUUAAAGAGAAGAAGUUGCAUCUCGGCGAGAGCAAAAGUUGUAGUGUACACUCCUUAUGCAAGCCUAUAUGGGAGAGGGGACCUAAGCCGAUAACGAAACAAUUCUUAGAAAAGAAAAAACAACAAAUCCUUAUUUGGUGUUGAUGUAUAUUGUGGAUGCAGAUGGAGUAGUCAAUUUCUUUGAGUGGUCGUUUGGUACGGCUGAUUAUCAUGGACUAGACUAAAUUUUGGGACUGUCUUCAAUUAGCUUGGACUGGCCUCAGCUGUAUUGAGUACUGACCUACGUUUGUGCUGCGUUGGACUAAAAAGCUUGAUUGUUAAAAUAGUAAAAACCUAUGUUUGGUGUUGCGUUGGACUAAAAAAUAAUUAUUUUAAUAAUUAAUUUUAAUUAAAAAUAAAUAAAAUUCUAAUAUUUAAUUUUAAUUAAAGAUUGCUAAAACUAUCUUAUCUCAUCUUUUUUCUUUUUUUCUUCUUUUCUUUCUUCCUAUUUUCUUCUUCCUUCCCAAGUUCCUAGGCCAUCCCCUUUUUUUUUAUUUUUCCUUUCUUCCUCUCUUCUUCUUCCUUCCUUCUUAAUCAACUGUCUAGAUUGAAAGCUAUAACCUUUACUGAGAGACAGAGUGGUCAAGGGUUUUAGGUGAGAAAAAGCGUAGAGAGAGACAGAGAGAUAGAGACAGAGGCUGAAAAUUCAAUACCAACUAUUUAUUCCAUAAGUUCAACUUGAUGUCUUCUAUGUCAUUUUCUGGAAGAAUCCUUUAAUGGGUACCAACUAGUUUUUAGAAUUUUUUUCAAACCAAUUCAAGACUGGGAAUUCAUGACUUCCUUCUCUCAGUCUCAUACAAGAAAGCCCACAUCUCUGUUAAUAGUGUCCCCUUUUGCAGUUGUCCUGAUCAUGGUGGAUGAUUUCUUGGAUCAAUUGGGUUUGAAAGUGGUUGUUGAAUUUGGGUUCAAAUGGGUUGUGGUCUUAUUGGGUUUGAAUUGGCAGUGGUUGAUUCGAGUGACUGGGUUUAAAUUGGUGGUGGUUGGUUCGAGUGACUGGGUUUGACGAUGAUCUGUGGUGAUUCUGGUGGUUGGGCUAGGUCUAUGGUGGUUAUAGUUCUAGGUGAAGAAGAAGAAGAAGAUGGUUAUUGUCGGACUCGCAUUCUCUGUUUACCGAAAUCGCUAUUUUGCGAACCGUGUUUGAGGCUCACUAAAUUGGAAGAGCGAGUGAGGCUUUUUGUUUACUGUUGUACUAUACAAUCCCAUUUAAUUUAGUUCCCCUCUUACCAAACAUGAUUUUCAGAGGCCGUUUGGUACAUCGGAUUAUUAUGGAUUGGACAAAAUCCUUAGACUAUCUUGGAUUAGCUCGGAUUGCUUAAGCUGGAUUAAGUACUGACCUACCUUUGGUGCUGUGUCGGACUAAGAAGCUGGAUUGUAAAAAUAGUGAAGACCUAUGUUUGGUGCUGUAUUGGAUUAAAACAAUUAUUUAAAUAUUUAAAAUUCAUUAGGGAUUUUGACCUAAAACUAAGUAAAUGCUACAAAGAAACCAACGAAAAAUGUAUAAUUUAUUAAAUAAAAAAAUUAUAAUAUUUUUAAAAGCUAAAACUAUCUUUAUCGCAUGUCUUUCUUCUUUUUUUCUACUUUUUCUUUUGAGUGCUGUUAAACGAACCCUAAAAUUAACUGAGUACACCCUACUACCAAACUAUUUAUUGAAGUACUAAUUUAUCCUAAUAUAAAAUGACCAAAAAUGAUAUAUUGAAUUGUGAAACAAAUAAAAUUUUAAUAAGUACACCUUACUCACUAUAUUCAAUCCUUAUCAGACAUAGAAAAGUCUUCGUAUUGCUUGGUGCUCACGAAUAACGCAGCGAGUACUAGUUUAGGAUUGGUAAUUUUGAUGAAACCCAAAAUCUGAAAAGAGAGCACAGAUUCAUAUAAACAGAGAAACUUGGUUUAGGAUUUGUAUUAGAGUAUUGUACUAUGGCUAUUUUUGGUAGUUAAAUAGGGUGUACUUAAUUAAUUUUAUAUUUUGAUUAAAAUAUUAGGGUUAACUUAGAUUAUAGGGUGUACUCAGUUAAUUUUAGGGUUCGUUUAGCAGCACUCUUUCUUUUGUCUUCCCUUUUCCCCCUUUUUCUUUUUCUUCUUCCUUCCCAGGCCCACUUUCUUUUUUCUUUUUUCUCUCUUCCUCCCGAUCUCACUCUAUGGUUCUCUCUUUUUUUCUCCAAUAUUGAUACAAUGAUAUCCUUCUCCUUCUCUCUCCUUUUCUAUCUCCCCCUCCCAACCUUUCUCUGCCUCCUCAUCAUUUUCUCUCUCCUAUUCCCCUGUGAAGUCACCGAUUUUCAUCUCCUUUGAAGUCACAAAUCUCCAUCUGAUUUCAUUGAGCCAUGGUCGAUGGUUGACGAUUUUUCAUAGGGUUCAAUUGGGUUUGACAGUGGUGGUUGAAUUUGGUUUUGGUUCCACUUGAUUUGAAUUGGUGGUGGUUGAUUUGAGUGGGUGGGUUUCAAUUGGUGGUGGUUGAUUCAAGUGGCUGGGCUUGAAUUUGUGGUGGAUGGUUUGAGUGACUGGGUUUGACGACUGUCUGUGGUGAUUCUGGUGGUUCGGCUGGGGAUAUGGUGGUGACAAUUCUAGAUGAAGAAGAAGAAGAAGUUGGUUAUCGUUGGACUCGCUUGCUCUGUUUAGCAAGCUCGCUAUUUUGCGAACCAUUUUUCAAGCUCGUUAUAUUGAACGAAUGAGCGAGGCAAAUUUUUUACUGUUAGACUAUUUAAUCUCAUUUAGGUUAGUCCUCCUCUUACCAAACAUGGGUUUUCAAGUGCUAUUUAACCCAAUUCAAUAUAGUGAGGGGUACCAAACAUACCCUCAAAGUGUUAUUUAACACUGUCCAGGGCAGUCCAGCCUACCAAACAUGCCCGAAGUCUCAAUAAUUUCUCGUCCAUUGUAUGGAUCAUAAACGCGAAAAUAUAUUAUGGCACUAGUAAAAAAAACCCCUUGCGCGACCAAAUUUUGCGCGACGAAAAACUAUUCGUCGCUCAAAGUCACUUUGCGCGACGAAACUCAAAACUUCGUCGCUCAAAGUCUUGCACGACCAAAUUUUGCGCGACAAAAAACAAUUCGUAGCGCAAAGUCACUUCGCGCGACAAACUUUUGCGCGACGACAAUACAUCGUCGCUCAAAGUCUUGCGCGACCAAAUUUUGCGCGACGAAAAAAAAUUCGUCGCGCAAAGUAACUUUGCGCGACAAACGUUUGCGCGACAACAAUACAUCGUCGCUCAAAGUGACUUUACGCGACGAAACAAUGAACUUCGUCGCGCAAAGUCCUUAUAAAAAUAAAAUAUAUAUAUUUUAAAAUGUUAAUCUUUGCAUGACGUAAUCCAAACAUUUCGUCGCCUAAACUAAUUUAUUUUUGUUUUUUAUUUUGUAUGCAUAACACUUAAGAAAUUAAACAGUAUAUAUAUUUAUUAAGUAGCUUUAAAUUUAUUAUUUUAGAUCGGAUCGGAUUUUUGUUAGAAAAAUAUAUUAUUGUUAUUCAGAUUGGGUUUUUGUUAGAAAAUAUAUAUUUUAAAUUGACGAUCGAAUUAGUUCAUUGUAUUCAUAUAGGGUCAAGGAGUGUAGCUGUAAAAAAUCAUCAAAAUCGGAGUUAAAAUAACCGUUAAAUCGUGAUUUUUCAUUAUAACCGUCGAAAAGUUUUGUCCCAUUAUUUGAUCUCUGAAUGUUUAUUUUUUUCGAUUUUUGGCGUAUAUGAUCUCGAAGUAUAAACAAACAAGUUUGACGGUUGGAUCGUUGAAACUAGUUUUGGUGAAUGCAUAUGCCAUCAAAACAAUAUAUUCACUAACAAUUAAGAGUUUAUUUAUACGUUCGUUAAAUAUAACAUAAGAUUUAAUGGUAUCCACUAGUGUAAAUAUUUUAAAUUGAAGAUCAAAUUCAGUCAUUGUAUUCAUAUAGGGUCAAGGAGUGUAGCUGUAAAAAAUCAUCAAAAUCGGAGUUAAAAUAACCAUUAAAUCGUGAUUUUUCAUUAUAACCGUCGAAAAGUUUUGUCCCAUUACUUGAUCUCUGAAUGUUUAUUUUUUUCGAUUUUUGGCGUAUAUGAUCUCGAAGUAUAAACAACAAGUUUGACGGUUGGAUCGUUGAAACUAGUUUUGGUGAAUGCAUAUGCCAUCAAAACAAUAUAUUCACUAACAAUUAAGAGGUUAUUUAUACGUUCGUUAGAUAUAACAUAAGAUUUUGUGGUAUCCACUAGUGUAAAUAUUUUAAAUUGAAGAUCAAAUUCAGUCAUUGUAUUCAUAUAUGGUCAAGGAGUGUAGCUGUAAAAAAAAUCAUCAAAAUCGGAGUUAAAAUAACCGAUAAAUCGUAAUUUUUCAUUUAUAACCAUCGAAAAGUUUUGUCUCGUUACUAGAUCUCUGAAUGUUUGUUUUUUGUGAUUUUUGGGGUAUACGAUCUUGAAGUAUAUACAAAUAAGUCUGACGGUUGGAUCGUUGAAUGGUGUGUGUAUAUAUAUUUAUUUAUUAAGUAGCUUUAAAUUUAUUUAUUUUGUACGUAUAACACUUAAGAAAUUGAAUAGUAUAUAUAUUUAUUAAGCAGCUUUAACGUUAUUUACAUUUUAAAUUGUAAAAUAAAAUAAUUUUAUUUUUAUUAUUCAUAACAAUUAUUUUUAUAAAUAUUGUGUUACGAACCAAUUUUUCGUCUCUCAAAAGUUUGCGCAACCAACAGUUUGUCGCGCAAAACUCCAAAAAUUUGGACGGGUACCAAAAAUGGGACACUGGAUUUUUAAAAAAAAUAAAAAAAAUUUAGACUUUGCGCGACCAAUAUUUUUUGUCGCUCAAAACUUUGCGCGACCAAUAUAUAUUUUUCGUCUCGCAAAAAUUUGGGCGGGUACCAAAAAUCGGACGCGGGAAUUUUUUUAGACUUUGCGCGACCAGUAUGUAUUUUUCGUCGCGCAAAAAUUUAAAAAUUUUGGCGGGUACCAAAAAUGGGACGAGGGGAUUUUUAUUUUUUUUAAAUAAUUUUUUUAGACUUUGCGCUACCAAUAUUCCUAUAUUCGUCGCGCAAAAAUUUAAAAUUUUUGGCGGGUACCAAAAAUGGGACGCGGGGAUUUUUAUUUUUUUUUAAUAAUUUUUUUAGACUUUGCGCGACCAAUAUUCCUAUAUUCGUCGCGCAAAAAUUUAAAAAUUUUGGCGGGUACCAAAAAUGGGACGCGGGGAUUUUUAUUUUUUUUAAUAAUUGUUUUAGACUUUGCGCGACCAAUAUUCCUAUAUUCGUCGCGCAAAAAUUUAAAAAUUUUGGCGGGUACCAAAAAUGGGACGCGGGGAUUUUUAUUUUUUUUAAAAAAAAUUUUUAGACUUUGCGCGACCAACAAUAUUUUUCGUCGCGCAAAGUGAUACGGUUUUUAAAACCGAAAUAACUCAUCCACCAUUUUCUCAAUGCCUUUCUCUACUCUUACCUCUCCUUUCUCUUUCCCUCUCCCCAAAUCCCACCAUUUCUCUCACUCACUCCUCUCACUUAAUCUCUCAUCUCUCUCUUCACUAUCUCUCACUCUCUCUCACUCACUCUCUCAUCUCUCUCACUCACUCUCUCAUCUCUCUAUCACUAUCUUCUCUAAUUCUCUCACACUCACUUCUCCCUCUCAUUCUCAUUCACUCUCAAUCUUGCCAAAAGGUAUAUUCUCUCCAAAUUUUAAAUUUUUUUCAUUAAUAUGUGUUUUUGGAGUUAAUUUUGAGUUUGUGUGGGUUUUGGGGUUGAGUAAAGGGGAGGGAUUGGAGUUUGGGUUGGAUUUGUGGUAUAACAAUUUUAGGGGAGAUUAUGCCUUCUUUUCUUUUCUUUUUUUGUGUGGUUAUUUAACCAUAUUUAUUUUUUUUGUAGGGAAUCAUCGAGACUUUGACGGCUAAAGUUGAGGAUUAGGAAGCUAUCAAAACAUAUCCUCCGCCACUACUACCACAAUACGCUUGUAUUAGGAUUUUAUUAUUGUACUUUGUUAAUUUAUGUGUACAUUUUGAAUAUUAUAUAUAUAUAUAUAUUUAUUGGAUAAUUUAAUCACUAUUUUUCAUAUGUAAUUUUAUUUUGAAUAUGUCAAUUUAAAUUAAAGUAAUUAAAAAAAUCAUACAAUUAAAUUAAAUUUAAAAAGUAAAAAUUAAUAUCAAUUUAAAUUAAAGUAAUUUUAAAAAGAAAUCAUACAAUUAAAUUAAAUUUAAAAAGUAAAAAUUUGAAAAAAUUCAUAUAAAUAAAUUCAUAUUAAAGAAAUAAUAAAACAAAAAGUCAAAAACCUUGCGCGACAAAAUAUUUCGUAGCGCAAACUAUUAAAUUAGUUUAUUUUAAAUUAAAAAAAUUUAAAACAAAAAAUAUUUCGUCGCGCAAGUAUUCGUCGCGCAAAACUCAAAAAAUUUGGGCAUGUACCAAAAAUUGGACCCGGGAAUUUUUUAUUUUUUUAAAAUUUUUUCUAGACUUUGCGCGACCAAUCUUUUUCGUCGCGCAAAGUCGCUUUGAGCGACCAAUAUUUUUUCGUCGCGCAAAGUCACUUUGCGUGACCAAUGAAAAAACUUCGUCGCGCAAAGUCUUUCUUCACGAUCUUUGCGCGACGGAUUCUGCGCGACGAAGUUUCUGUCGCGCUGAAAUUUGUGCGACUACAAUGUAUUUUGCGCGACGAAAUUUUUUUCGUCGCGCAAAGUGUAAAAUGUAGUAGUGUGGGGUAUGAGAAACAAAAAUCCAAUUACAUGAAAAUAUCAAUGACCAACAAGCUUAAACCAUAAAAAUUCACUUUCAAUUUCGCAUACAAUAACUAGAUUGGAGUUUUGGGUUCAAGCAUCAAAUUAUGUGGUGGAAUUUUUUUUUUAAUUUAAAAAAAAAAUCUUGUUAAACUUGAGCUGGAGUUUCUAAAUCUUCUUUGUGUGCUUCUAAUCAACAAAAAACAUAUAAUUAACAAUCUUGAACAUGAACUUCUUUUUUCAAGGGUCUUAAUUUGAGUUUGGAUAGCUAGUUAGGGUUUUGGGUUUUCUACGAAUCGAAAACUGAAGCUAAAUUGAUAAUUUUUCGAAGAAACUUCGCUUCCAUUUCCUUUAACAGGUUUUAAAUCAAAGUAUGAAUAACACAAAGAUGACCAAAUGUCAACAACUUUAUUCUUCACAAUAAACUGAAGUCCAAAAACGACCCGAAAGGUACAAACGUUACAUAAACAAAGCAUAUGGAACAUAAGCCCCAUUUCUUGAAUAUUCAUCUCAACGCUUCUUUGUCAACGAGAUAACCAGGUUAAUGAACUGGCAGUUUUCCCUUUCCAUGUGAUCAAGAACAUCUGCUUCAAACCUACGAAACAAAUCGUCCAUGGGUGCUUCUCCGAAUUGGCUCGCCAGAAUCGGCUCUCCCACAGCCCUUAUGUCAGUGGCAAAUAUUGCAGCCCUUGUCUUCUUAUCCAGGCCACUGUUAGCUUGCUUGACAUAAGAGUCCCAAUCAUUUUUGAAAACUUCAAGGUUUUGCAAAAUAAAAGAUCCUUCAGCCUCGAUCACCUCUUCGAACUCCUUGGUUGUAGGUGCAUAGUAUGGCAUAUUGAAUGUGUCCAAUUUUUCCCCUUCAAUCAAACCCUGAAAAUUCAUCAAAUUGGAAAUAAUUAAUGUGUCCCAAAUCUAUUAGAAAUAAAUAUGAUCUAAUAUUUAAUUACCUCUAAAACCAUGUCAUUGAGCUUCAUUCCUACAAAUUCCCAAAUGCAGAGGGGAUCGUCACUCUUUAUGCUGCCCAUGGUUGUGAGGACCAUACUGCCACCAGGGACGAGCUCUUCGGCACGUGACCUCAGAAAGACUGUGAAGUCCCUUUUGAAUUGCUCCAAGUAUUGCUUAAACACGGCUGGAGGGCUUGUCUUUGCUAUAUAUAUGUUCCCCUUGUUCAGUGCCUCUCCUUCUUUGGUCACCAAGCCUUUUGGAACCUACGUACACACGUUUAUGCUCAUCACUUGUCAGAUUAAAUUAUCAGACACGAUUUUAGAAUUAUUAUUAUUUUACCAAUUGAAUAAAGCUAAAAAAUUAGACAAACUUGCAAGAUAUAUAUAUUUUUAAAUCCCUAGUUGAUUGAGAAAGUCUUCUCAUGGAGAUAUUUUUAUGUUUGAAUGGACCAUCCUGCCAUGUGGUGUAACUAAUGAGUUAUAUAUAACUGGGUGUAUGAAGAGUUUAUGCCUAAUAACGACUCAAUGAUUGAUUAAAAAAAAUCCAAACCUCAGAGAUCCACAUGAGAGCAUAAGAAGAGUGAACAAAGUGGAGAGAAUUGUCGGGGAAGAGCCUGCCAUAGAAAGAGCCAGGCAUUCCUGCAAUGAAACAUGGCCCAAGCUUCUUUUCAGGUUCUUCAUCAAGUUUCUUAUAGAAGCCUGGCAAUGACCUGAACACCGUGUUGAAAUCGUUUCGGGGAAGAUCAUUCAAGAAGGCUUGGAGUGAUGGAGGUGGGCGGUUGAGCUUUUGGAAAGUGUUGCGGAUGUUGUCUAUGAUAUCUGAUACCACCAAAAGGGUGUUGGGUCCUGAAGAGCAUCCCAAGUCCGCUAUUUUCAAACACUCUGGGAAGAGAGUGCAACACAGCUCCUCUAUGCUUGC